rnacentral:lncRNA from 1 species
AACUAAAAUACUUCUAAAAGUACUGAGUCAUUUUGGUACUUCCACAUCAUUUAUGAUGAUAAAUUAUACAAAGGGAAAACUUCAAAAACCCCCUUGUAGUUUUGUAGUUUCUCACUUCCCCGCCCUGUGGUUUCUUCUUUCUCUUUUUCUUAUUAAUUUUAUUAUUUUUUUUUCUUAAAUCAAUGAUAAAGUUAAAAUUAAAUGGUACUAAAGUGAAUAUUUGAUAAAUCUAGAUGGGUAUCUGAAGUUUUUGUAUAUAAUUUAAUGAAAUAUUAACGAAAAAGCUACCGAAAAGAUAAAAACGAAACCACGGGGAGGCAAUUUGAUAUAUUUUAAACCACAGAGAGGCAAAGUGAGAAACUACGAAACCGCAGGAGGGGUUUCUGAAGUUUUUUCCCUUAUACAAAUCGAUUAUUAACACCGCUAAAUAUCAUCUGCGGCAUGUGAACUUCGUAGGAGCUAAAUUUUAUGACUUUCUAAUGUUAUUCAUCUGGUAUUCAAGUUGUCUUAAACACGUCUUAUAUUUACAAUCAAAAAUUAUUAAUUUAAAAUAAUUAGUAUAUAAUAUUAAGAAAAAUAUAAAAUUUUGUUUUUAAGAAAGUUCACAUGCUCCCGUGUUUAAUAGGUAAACCAUCAAUUUAGAAUGACUCUUCAUAAAAAACAACACGAAUAUUUUUUAGAUCUUGAUAUUUAUUUCUUUCCUCCCAAAGAAAAUUAAAAAAAAAAAAAAAAAAGAAGGAGAAUUGGAAGAGUUAUUUGGCAAAUGGUAUGUUGGGGACAAUAAAUAAUUUCUAGGCCCAUAAAUUGUUUUGGUCAAAGAAUUGGAUUGCACCAAAAGUAGUUGGCUCUCUCUUUAAUGAUGGACCCCCUCAUACAAAAAUCAAAAAAAAAAAAAAAAAAAGGAAAAAAAAAAUUUGAGGACCCCAUUAAAAAUUUAUUUUUCAUAUUUUAUAAAAACUAAUAUUUUUAUUUUACUUAACAAAAUUCGAAAACGAAAACACUACUCUUCCAUGAAAUCUGAAAAAAUGCUUUCCCAAAAAUCCGAUUUUUUAAACCAAACGACGAAAACUUUUCUCGGGAACCAAACAGUCUCUUAAUUUUUUUAAAAAAAUUGAUUUUUUUAAUUAAUCAUUAAAAUUAUUUGAUUUGAGUCAGUUAAUAUGUUUUUACUUUAGAAUUUGAAUAUAUCGUUUAUCUUUACAAAUUUAAUUAGUGUAUUUUAUUUAAUUCAUGCAACUAUAAAUUUAUUAAUAUAAGUAAUUGAUUUAAAUUUUGUAUGGAAAGAGCCAUCAACUGACUUAAAUCAAAUAAAUUAGAAGGUUAGAUAUUAAAAUCAAAAUUUUCAAGAUUGGAUAAUCAAAUCAAAAUAAUCUGUAGUUCAGAUAAAUUCUAUGCAUUUUUUACCAAAAAAAAAAAAAUUGUAAAACAUUACAAUAAUUAAUUACAAAUCACCAUCCAAACUUUGAAAUAUUUAAAAGUGAAACGGUUCAAAUAAUGAUAGAAUUAUUCAUAUAUAUUAAAGCGGAGAGGCAUUUAAGCAAUUUAACUUUUGUACUACUAAAAAUUGCCAUAAAAAAUAAAUUAAACUCUGUAGUAGAUUGUAAGAUUGAAGUAAUUAGAAAGUUUAUAUAGUUUAUUUUAAUCUUAAUAAAUGUUUAUGGAAUCAGUUUAGAAAGCGGUAUUUUUGUAAUUUUUUUUUCUAGGAGAAAUAAAAAAAAAAAUACUAUACGUUCUUUUCAUUUUUUUUUUUUAGAACUGUGCUUGUUAAAUAUAAAAAUAUUUAAACACCGUUUUUUACUAGCUUAAGCUUUUUAGAGAAUAAAGAUUGUUUCGUAAUAUUUAACAUGUUAUCGGAGCAGAAGGUCUUAAGAUCAAGUCACGCCAGGCUCCUAACAUUCCAGACAUGAGGAGAGCGCUAAAUAUAAAAAUAUUUAAAAUACCGUUCUCUAUUAUCUUAAGUUAUUUGGCAACUCUUAUUAAGCGAAGUUUUAGGCGUCGUUGCUAUUUUUUUAUUUUAAGCUCUAAUUUUAUAUAAUUUGAUAUACAGGUGACAAAGUUAUUCUUUUAUUGUUGCAAUUAAUUAGCUUGUUAUAUACCCUAACAACAUCCUGAUAACAAAUUAUAUUAAAAAAGCAAUAAAAAUAUUUUUAUAGAGGAAAUUAUGGUAAAAUUGCACGUUCGGUCCUCAAACUAUGAGACAGCUGACACUUUGAUCCUCAAAUAUCAAUUUGUUGUAAUUCGAACUUUCUGAAUUAUUACAAUCAAGUCCUAUAACACAAUUUAGUUAAUUAAAUAUUGAUGCAUAGUUAAUAUAGAAGCUAUAGAGUUUUAUGAUGUCUUAAUACAUCAAAUAUUCAUAAUAUUUAGUCAACUUACUUGUACAAUUUUUUAAAGUUUUAAGUCAAAAAAAAAUGUAGUAACUUAAAAUUUGAGCACCAAAUUGUUAUAACUCUCAUAGUUUUAGGACCAAACGUGCAAUUUAGCCAAUAAAUUAGAAUUUAAUUUAAAUUUUUUUUAAUUUUUAAAAAAUAAUUAUCGUUGGAAAACACAAAACACGUUCCCCUCCCAACUCGCCGCCCCACCCGGACCACGCCGUGUACCACCCAACCCCCUCCCUGAUCGUGACACGUGGGGCGAUCACGAGCGUCGCUUCCGCGAGUCCACCACAGGGAUCCGGUGUACCGUCACCGUAGAUUCCUCCGCUACCCCCCCACCGCACACGCACCCAUCCCCCCCACCACCGCCGAAUCGAAAUUACCAUUUUACCCCCGCCCGUCGAUCUAAAACAAGAAACGGAUCGUCACCGCAUCCGUGUCCUCAUCUCACGAAAAUUUUUAAUGGACGAAAUUGCCCUUACAUGUAUUAGUUAAUUACAAAAUACCCCUCGCAGUUUUUUGAAUAGAAUAAAAAUCAAUUACCACAUAUGUGGUUUCGCACUUUUUUUAUUUUAGUACCGUAUAAUUUAAAAUAUAUCAAUUAAGUCCCCUGGUUUUAUUUUUCUUUUUUUAUUAUUUCUUUCACUAUUUUUUCGUUAAAUUAAUGACAAAGUUAAAAUUAAAAGACAUUAAAGUGAAUAUUAGAUAAAUCUAAGUGAGAUAUCUGAAGUUUUUUGUAUAGAAUUUAACGAAAUAUUAACGGAUGAGCUCAUAAAAGAAAAAAAAUAAAUAAAACCACAGGUUACUAAAUUAAUACACUUUAAAUCACAGAGUAUUAAAGUGAAAAAAUGCGAAAUUGUAGGGUGGUAUUUGAAGUUUUCUGGUUCGAAUAUUGGUAUUGGGCCCACCACUAUAUGGACCGUCUCGUCGCUAUCCGACGGUCGCUAUUCACCUAAACAUUGUAAUCGUAAAUUUUGUGUAAUUAUAUUUUUGGUCUCAUACUAAUUUAAUUAGUCUCUAAAUUUUUAUUUAUAUAUUAUUUUUGUUCGUAAAACUUAAAAAAUUAUUUCUCAUGUGAGGCGCGUACUUAAUAAAAAAAAAAAUUUAGUAAACAGUUAUUUAUUUUAAAUUUAUUUUCCAUUUUAGGAAAACUUUGUGCUUGGGCAAAUGAUUUUUUUUUGAAAAAAAGCAAAAUAUACUUUGCUUUUGCGUGCCACGUUGCAUUUGUUUUUAUCUUUUUUUUAAAAAAAAAAAAAUUCCUCUUGUGCUUUAGUCACAUCUCAACUACUUUUCCACAAUAAAAAGAAAUUGCAAGUAAAUUUUAAUCCUGUAUUUUUACAAUUUUAUCAAUAAAGUUUAAUACUUUGAAAUAAUCAUUAAAUUUAGAUGCAAAAUAUUAUCUAAAGUAAUUUGGCACAUAUGUUCUACUUAUAUUUAAAUCUCUAAAUAUAAUUUAUUUGCAUUUUUUCCUAAGAAAAGAAAUAAAAAUACNUUUAUAAAAGUAAAUAAAAUAGAUUACUUGCUACAUAUCUCUAAAUAUAAUUUAUUUGCAUUUUUUCCUAAGAAAAGAAAUAAAAAUACGCCAUAAACUGGAGAAAAAUGCAAAUUUAUCCUGCUGUAAUGUAACAUUUUUUUUUGUGUCGCCCUAGUGCUUAAAAUGCUUUUUUUUUUUUUUAGAGAUAUGUAGCAAGUAAUCUAUUUUAUUUACUUUUAUAAAUAAACUCCGUUAGAAACUGUAAAGUAAUUAUAUUUCAAAUUUGAAAUCUUAUGUAUCAAUCAUUAAGUUCUUAGCGUUAGAUACGAUCGGUCAGUGAUUCAAAAUGUUAUAUUUCACUAUAUUGUAAUUCAAAAAAAUUAUACUCCACUAUUAAAAAAUAUAUAUAUACUAUAAAAAUCUAUUUUAAAACAUGCUAUUAUUUUUUAACUUCUAAAAAUUUAUUUUACUGUCCUAUUUAAUAAUAAUUUUUAUAAUAUAAAAAACUAAAAUUAUAAAAUAUUUAAGAGCAAAAAAAUACGUUAAAACACGUGGCGGCGGCGAAUAAGGGCAAAUGUGAAAUGCCCCUGGGCUUUUUUUCUCUUUUUUUCUUUGUCCCUUUUUUAAAGUUCUCCCCUAUGUCGCUGCGAAAUUACAUGUACCUAUUGGCAAGGGCAAUUUGGUCUUUUCACAUCAAAUGGAUGGCAAUCUCGUUAUUUUUAGGAACUGUAGGGGCAUUUUUUUUAAUGUGUAUAUAUAUAUAUAUAAAUAUAUAUAUCCCACACUUCCAUCUCCCUAGAAUUGUUUCCCCCAUAUCCCAAACUUUCUCUCUCUUCUCUCUUUCUCUUUCUCUUUCUCUUUCUCUCUCUAAAACUGCAUCUCGGAAAAGCGCUUUUUCCGCUUCUCUGCGAGCUCCGGCAUUAGCUUCUCCUCCCCCUCCCAGCUUUUACCAUUUUUACCCCUCGAUCUCUCGCACCUCUACGCAGCUACCCGCGGCCUCGGCCGAGGGCACAUCGGUCAUUUGGCAGGUCCGCUGGUGCGGGGGGCCCACCAUGUCGAGCUACACGAGGCGCGAGGGGACACUUGGCGCGUGGCGGAAGCGCAAGGAGCAGCGCGAGCCGUGCGACCCGCCUCGGACCAAGCCGGUCGCUGCGGACGCCGAACCGGGUGCGGGUUCGGGUUCGGGUUCGGACCGUAACAACAAGGUGUUGGCGGGUUACCUGGCGCACGAGUUCCUCACGCGGGGGACGCUCUUCGGGAAGCGGUUCGAGCCGGGGAAGAAGGACCCGAACCCAAACCCGAACCCGGUACGGCCCGGGUCGGGCGAACCGCCGAGGGCGUAUGCGGAGGUGUCGUAUAUUUUGCGUGCGGAUGGUGGGGCCCACGUCGCGGGCGUGGUGAACCCGACGCAGCUGGCGCGGUGGAUUCGGAUAGGGGGUGAGGAUAACGCCGCGAAGCGCCAGAACAAGUAGGCUGCUGACACGUGGAAGGGCCCCCAUUGGGUGGAGUUGAGAGCCUCGAUUUUUUUUUUUUUGAUUUACUGUACCUUGGGGUUUUUUUUUUCCGCAAUUGACUUCUUAGAAAAAAUUAAUUUUAAAAAUAGUUUCAGUAAAUUUAUAUUUACAAAAAUGGCUUCGUCCCGGCCAAACAAGUGCUACGUCAGCACCAUGUAGGAGGGACUGAAAUCAAAUGGUUAAAUUGAACACGCUAAAUCAUUCACCAUGUCUGAACACGAUAUCUAAACACGAUAAAUGGUUCACCGUAUUUAAAGCUGACGUGACGCUUGCGUGACAGGAUCAGUACUAUUUUUGUAAAUAUAAAUUUGUUGGACUACUUUUAAAAUUAAUUUUUUUCAGCGUACCAAUUGCAAAAAAACCCCCUGUAACUUUUAUUGUUUUGGAGUAGCGAAAACUUAAUUUUAUGCUUGUUUAUUUCAGAAUUGGAGUUAGAAUAAGAAUUAGGAACGGAGUAGUUCAUGCAUUGCAGUAACCUAAGAGGGUGUUUGAUUUUUUAAAAAAUAGUUAAAAACAUAGUUUUGUGACAAAACAUAUUUUUCGUUUAUUUGAUUUCUACAAAAAGAAUAAUUUUUUAGAUAAUAUUUUUCAAAUUUGAUGAAAAUAUAGUAUGUUCCUUUUUUAUAUUUUUAAUCCAAAAAAACAAAAACAGUGAAAAAAAGACUAUUUUUCACAAAAAUAUUUUUUGAAAAAUAAAUUUUCACACUUUUUCGAAAAAUAGAAUAUCAUCCUAACCAUACAAUCAAUAAUUUAAGGAACAAAAUGUCGAAACAUGAACUCCUAAUAGUUUUGAAAGCAUAGUAGUUUUACACCGAAAAAAUUAUAUAUCUUUGUUAAUUUUAGUUACCUGUAAUUUUAGCUUAAUUUUUAGGGUGUGUAAGAAGCCUCCUUUCUUCGAUAAUUUUAAUGAUGGGCUUAAUUUCCGCCAUUCGAUAUUUUAUAUGGCAAAUCCGCGCACUUGAUUGAAAAAAUUAAUAUCAAAUUAUAAAAAAUAUUAAAUAUUAUUUCUGUGGUUUUAUAUUUUCUCAUUUUAGUAUCUUGUAGUUUAAAGUAUCUCAAUUUAGUGUCAUGUGGUUUUAUUUUUAUCUUUCUAUUAUCGAUUUCACUAAUUUUUUCUGUUAAAUUAGUGACAAAGUUAAAAUUAAAGAAUACUAAAGUGAAUAUUCGAUAAACUUAGGUAGAGUAUCUGAAGUUUUUUGGAUAUAAUUUAAUGAAAUAUUAACGGAGAAACUAACGAAAAAAUAAAAUGAAAUCAUAAGACACUAACUUGAUAUACUUUAAAGCAUAGGAUACUAAAGUGAGAAAGUAUGAAACCACAAGAGUGGUAUCUGAAGUUUACCCUUAAAUUAGGUUUUUUAUCUAUAUUUUUCAUAAUAAAGAGAAAAAAGGUUAUUUUACAUGGCACAUAAAACACAUGGUUCAAACUUAAAAUCAAAGUCCACUUAUGAAACUUUUGAAAGUCUCAUGUUUAGAUAUGCGUGAGCUUUGGGUGUAGAAUGUUUAAACGUUGUCCUCCAGAACUUGAUCUUUUGAAAAUAAUCAGUUACUUUCACUGGGGGACCGUUUGGUUAGAUAUAAUUAUAAAUACAGCAGUUACAACUACAUGCAUCCUGUUUGGAUGGAUGUAAUAGAAAGCGCUGCAAAUAUAAAUAAUUUGUUUGGUUGCAUGCAAUUGAAAAAUAAUUUUGAAAAUUUUAUCAUUUUAUAUAUAUAUGGUGAUGGGAUUACUUUCCAUGUAAAAAAGAAAAAUAAUUUUUGUUUAAAAUAUAAUUGAGCAGGUAAAGUAUACAUUUUAUUUAAAGUUAUUCUCUUCAACUAUUGCAGUUGGGCUCCUAUUGUAGCAGUUGGAGUUAAAUACACCAAAUAAAACACCGAAUUUGCAUUUGCGUGCAGUUACAACUGCAGUGCAGUUGCAACUACAUGCAACCAAACGGCAUCUAAGUGUUUUUAAAAAAGUUAAAUUUUGUUGUUUUUAGCUCAAAUUUUUAAAAUUGUAGUUGACUAAAUAUUGAUAAAAUUAAUAUAAAAAUAAUAUCACAUUUUAAAUAUUGUCAUAUCAUCAAUUAUAUUACUUUCAUAUCAUUUCUAUAUCAUCAAUUUGUCAAUAUAUAUUUAGCCAGGUAACAUUGAUUGUGAAUUUUGACCGCAAUAAUUUAUAAAUUUUGAAUUAAAAAUUAUAAUAAAUUAAAAUUUGAAAAACAAAGUGUCACGAGCCCUAUAGUUUGAGGACCAAAAGUGUGAUUUAGCCUCUCUUUNUUCCUCUCAUGCACAUGUUUUAAAGAGCUGUUUCUGAAUAGAAAUGAGAUUGAAGGUGCCAACCUGGGGAGAGAAAAAAAACUCUCUUUUAAUUAGGUUCUAUUUGAAUAAUAGGAUAUUGCACAUGUUUUAUAAUAUAAGCUAAGUUACAAAACUCUUUCUUUGUACUUUGUCCUGUGAUUAAAUUAACCUCUUGAACAAAAUUUUGUUUCGAUUUUGAACUCUGCACUUUAUUUUGUUUUCAAAUAGGAUGAGACAUUUGGGAUGAUCAAUAAAUUCGAAGGCGAAUUUUUGCACAAAUUAUUUGACGUAUUGCGUUAGUUUUAUAAUCGAAUUAUAUGACAUAUUUAAACUUAAAUAAAAGAGAAUUUUCUUAGCUAUACCUAUCAAAAUUGGUUGUUUAUAGAACAAUUUAUUCAAGUUAUGGGACUAUGUUCAGUUCAAUAGAACAAUGGUUAUUUGUCAACUCAUUUUCAUAAAGUUUUGCGCAAUUUGAUCAAUCAGUAAAGGUUUUCAUAUUAAAGCAAAAUAUUUUUUUUUGAGAGAAAAAAAUUAAAGCAAAAUGUUAUGCAAAAACGUAAUUGAGACCAGAGGCAACUGCAAGUCCUUCAUAAAUUUUUAUUUUUUGAAAAACUGAACGCAGCUACAAAUGUAAACUCUCUAAGGGGUCGUUUGGCUGCACGUAGUUAUAACUGCAUUACAGUUGUAACUACAUGCAAAUACAAAUUCAGUGUUUGAUUUGAUAUAUUUAACUCCAACUACUGCGGUAGGAAUUGCAGGAGGAGGCCCAACUGCAAUAGUUCGAACUACGCCCAAAUUUACCGCAAUUCUAACUGCAACAGUUGGAGAGAGUAACUUUAAAUAAAAGGUAUGUUUACCUGCUCAAUUAUUUUUUAAACAAAAAAUAUUUUUCUUUUUUACAUUGAAGGUAAUCUCACCUCAUAUAUAUAAAAUGAUAAAAUUUUAAAAAUUAUUUUUUAACUACAUGCAACUAAAUAAAUUAUUUAUACUUACAGCAUUUUCUACUAUAUCCAACCAAAUAAAAUGCAUAUAGUUGUAACUACUAUAUUUUUAACUAUAUGCAUACCUAACUACACUGCAUUUAUAAUGACAUCUAACAAAACGACUCUAAAUUGUUAACAAGUUGGUAUUGGGAACUAUUAAAUCAAUCUAAAGCGGUCAAAGGAGCUACAUAUAUAUAUUUCAACACAUAGAACCACAUAAUUUUCAGGAAUAAAGUAGAACAUAUAUAUGUAUAUACAGAGAGAAAGAGAGUUCGGCUGGGAUGCUAUCGAUAGCACCAAACACUUAGUUCUACCGAAUUUUCCGUCAUUAGAUUUAACCCUUUAACUACUUUCACCCGUUAAAUUAUAUUAUUUAAUCAACAACUAAUUCAACCCUAGAAGAUCCAUAUCAUUCUAAUUGUAUAUUUUUUAAUUCAAUGGCCGAAAAUUUAAUAGCACCAGCAACUUAUUGAUAGCAUUGCACCCUAGUUCUUUCUCUCUCUAUAUAUAUAAAGUUUUUAUUUCUAAAUUAAAAUAAAUUGUCCUUUCUUUUGUCACAGAAACUUUCGUAUGAAAUAUUUUUCACAAGCUUAGGGAUUUGAUGAUGAUGAUGAUGAUGAUGAUAAUAACGAAGAUGAUGAUGAAUGAAUUAGCGUGCAGCAACUCAGUUCACUGAAUAACUCUUUAUAUAUAUAUAUAUAUAUAUAUAUAUAUAUAUAUAGAGUUGGACUGGGCUACUAUUAGUAGUAAAAUAUCAUUAUUGCUACCAGUUUUUUAGCCUUUGGAUCAACUCUUUUCAUUAUUUCUAACUAUUGGAUUAAAUACUAUAACCCAGUGAGGACCACUCAACCCUAGAGGGACCACUCAACUCUAACCGACUAAUAUCAUCUUGACCUUAUAAUUUUUCAUUCAAGGGUUAAAAACUUGAUAGUAAAAAGAACGUUUUACUAUUAAUUGUAUUCCAGCCUAAUUCUAUAUAUAUAUAUAUAUAUAUAUAUAUAUAUAUAUAUAGAGAGAGAGAGAGAGAGAGAGAGAGAGAGAGAGAGAGAAUUAUGCUACUAUGCUAUCAAUAGUACCAAGCCCUUGGUACUAUUGAGUUUUCGACCGUUGGAUGAAUAGAAAAAUAGGAGCGAGAUAUAAGAUGAUAGUGGUCCUGAUUAAAUUGAUAGUGUUCCCUUAGGGUUGAGUGGGUGGUUUGGUUAAUAGUAUAAUCUAACGGGUAGAAAUGAUUAAAGAAUAGAUCGAACGGUAGAAAAUCAAUAGUAUCAAGGGCUUGGUAUUAUCGAUAGUAUAGUAGCCGGACUCUCUCUCUCUUCUCUCUCUAUACCCUUUGUUCAUUUCUAUCCAUUAGAUCUAUACUAUUAAACCAACCACCCACUCAAUCUAGAGGCCACUAGCAAUUUAACCGGGACCGCUAUCAUCCUAACCGCACAUCUAUUCAUCCAACGGCCGAAAACUCAAUAGUAAAAGAGGCUUGUAUUGUGAUAAUGUAGCCUAAUUUAUUAUAUAUAUAUAUAUAUAUAAUAUAUAUAUAUAUAUAUAAAAAAAAAAAUUGAGUUCCUGUGCUUUUAAAAGUAUCAAGUUUAUAAUGCUUGUAGAUUUUGGCCAUUGGACUAAGGGAUGUGCGAUUAGAAUGAUGUGGGACCAUUAGGGUGAGUGGGUGGUUAGUUUGUAGAAUACUAUAAUUUAAUGGGUAAAAAUGAUCAAAAGAAAAUACUAAUAAAUGUACUAAUAUGCUAUUGAUUGGAUGGUUCACUAUGUCCAAAAGGGAAAGGGAAAUGCUAAAGUGGAUCUAAUUGAAACUUUAGUUCAUGAUGGUCAUGAACUCAUGAUGAAAACCUCCUUUUCAUUAAUGUUUUUUUCCCGCUUUUGCACUCUGGAUGAGAAAAGAGGGGGAAAAAAAAAAAAAUAGGAGAGAAUAAAAUUUUCUCUUAUUUGUAUCGCAACUUGCUCAAAAAAAAAAAAAAAAAAUUCAUAACAAUCGAUUUUUUUUUUCUUUUCUCUUCUUUUCUCUCUAUUUAUAUGCAUAAAGAGGAAAUGUCUGAGCUGUACUGCCUAUUCUCUCGACGUGUGUUUUGUACCUAGUUUUGCUUUCCAAUUUUCUCUUAUUUAUUUUUUCUCUCGGAGGCCCUGGCUACCUCACUUUAUGUAGCUAAAUUCAUCUUCUUAUUGAAUGAAGCAGGUAGCGUGUUAUCUAUUUCUCAAAAAAGCAAAUACACAAAGUAAAGGCACAAGCUGGAAUGAACCAUAACAUCAUGGACGACGAUCGACUACGUACGUAAUUAGCAAUCCCUGAUGUAAAUAUAUUUGCAAAUCAAUCAAAUCAAUAUUUCGCAUUCUCUAUAUUUCUCCAUUUUGUUGGAGAUACAUUAUAUAUGUAAUAGCCAUCUUAAUUAUUGUCUACUAAAAGAAAUAACUUUGGUUCGUAUAAAUUUUAUAUUCUUUAAUCCUUUAUAGAUAAAAGAGCUAUCAAUUAAUAAAUUCGAGAAUAAUUUGUACUAUUUUCAUCAAUUCCACAACAGCGACACAUGCCGUCCCAGCACGGUCCAAUUAACCGGACCAACCGGCCCAUAUGAUCCAUCGUUGGCGAUUAUGGCCCAAUAAAUUCCGCCCGCCCCAACUAACCGUUAGCGGGUCGGGUUCUAAGGAAUUAAAUUUAUUACUAUUCGAAUUUGAUAUGUGAGAAUAACUAGUCAUAUAGACGAAACAACAGUUGCAACUAAAACCGCAACUGAGCAUUGAUAUGUGCUUGUGGAUACAAACUUACAGAAUAAGCUUUUAGGCUGAAUCGAUCUAAUAGAAAACGAGUUCAGAAAUAUACACGAACAUGUUAAAGGUGGGGGAUAAAAUCUAAGACCGCAGAAAGAAGGAAUUUGAAAUUGGCUUUGAUAUCAUGUUAUCCAAAAUAUCGAUUUAGUAGAAAACAGGCUCAGAAAUAUAGUAAUAACCGCUAGCUAGUAGUUUAUUCGGUGGUUAAUUAAUCUUGAGUGCUUAAAUUCGGGACUCGAGUCAUGGGCUUCGAACUUAGUAUAUAUACAUAUAUAUAGAUUCGUAAAAGAGUUUCUGAAAUAUGAAAUUUAGAGACAAUGUCAUUCAAAAAAGAAAAAAGAAAAGGAAAUCCUAAGAUGAAAGUAAUUAAGCAACAGCUAACAGGUGCCAUCUCAAGAACAAAAGUAGGCAACAAAUCCUCCACAGCACAAGCGGAAGCAUUCGUAAACUUACUAAAAAAAAGCACUUUUUAAUUGGGACCUUAAUUUUACACCAUGAAUGUACACACCAUGAAUAUACAACCAACCAAAGCGCAAUAUUUAUACUCCAUAUAUAUAUAUAUAUAUAUAUAUAUAUAUAUACUCUCGACAUAGAUGAGAGAGAUAACUCUUUAGAGAGAGAGAGAGAGAGAGAGAGAGAUAACUCUUUAGAGAGAGAGAGAGAGAGAUAACUCUUUAGAGAGAGAGAGAGAGAGAGAGAGAGAGAGAGAGAGAUAACUCUUUAGAGAGAUCUAGAGAGAGAGAGAGAGAAAUGGCUUUUGGGAGAAGGGAUUUGAUGGUGGUGCUGUGCUCGGUGCUUGUGAUUUUGGCUCCCACGCGAACCCACGGGCUCUGUUGGCCCGAGUGCAUGCGCGAGUGCGACGAUUUUAAGAUCGUUUGUGGGACCGCGUGCGUUAUCGCAUGCAUGGGAAAAUCACGUACGUGUGUGUGUGUCUGUUAUAUAUAUGUUUUCUCUCUGAUCUAUUUUUAUCAAACUUUACAUCAUUUUUUUAUAAAUUAUGUAAUUAUUCAGUAUUAUAUUUUGAUCAUGUUUGAAUGAAUGAACAUAUAUAUUAUUAUGCUGUCAUGUAAAAAUUCUUAGUAGUAUUCAGAAUUGAAUACCAUAUUUUAUUUUCAAAUCACUCUUUUCAUAAUAGAAUAAUCUUUUUCGUAGAUACAAUAUGUUAUUCUAUCAAAUCAUGAAUGACAGAAUCUGUUAGUGAACAAACUUUGGCUGAAAGCCUCAUAAGAUUUACGCUCAUUUUUUAAGUGUGCAAAUAGUAGUACUGUCCUGUCUUUAUACAGAAUAAGAUAUCAUUUUCUUCUUAUAAUUAUAUAUAUAUAGUAAUUGGUUUAGUCGUAAUGAUCGUUAAUAAUUGUACAGCCUUCUACAACCACUAUCAUGAGCCGGAACUAAUCACGGUGCCGGGGCCGGCGGCAGCCCCGAGCCCCGCCCACCGUGCGCUGCUCAAGAUGAGGGAGUCGCCGCCGGGCUUCGCCGGCAACGGCAACAGCAACAGCAACAGCAACAACAAGAGCAAGGAGGAGGAGGAGACCACCACCACCUCAUCCUCCUCUCUCUUCUCUCCGUUUCCUUAAACAUAAAUUUGAUCAUUAUUAUGCUUAAUUAAUUAGAUUAUAGCGAUUUUGUCUCUCUCUCUCUCUUUGCUGGUUUAAUUUCUCACUGAAAUGAAAAUUCAGUGUGUUCAGUUUCUCUCCUCAUUUUCUCCAAGGUCAUGAUUUUGUUCCCCCUAAUUACGUUUUGUGGCCUCUUCUUUUGUGUUUUCGCUCUUGCAUAAUAUUGCGGAAAGAGCAUUAAUUGUUUGGUUUACAACCUAAUUAAAAUGGAUUAAUUGUAAAAUCUUUUAUUAGUGAAUGGUGAGAUUUCGAGUUUAGCAAUGUCGGCGCCUGGUACUUCAAUCUACGAACUAUUUACAUGAUCUAUUAGGAAAAUGUUAAAUCAUAUUUUAAAGAGUUUUGUGGAUAAUAUAUAGAUUCUCUGCAGAUCGAGUGCGCACGCAUAAUAAUUAUUACUCUGCAUUAUGAGCAUUACCUAUUCUGAGAGUGCAUGGUUAACGUACUCUCCUUGCAUGAAGUUCCUCAAAUAUUAUCUCCUCCCAACGAAUUACUCUGGAUACGCAUCUCAUCUCCUUCGUUUGUCUUUUAAAUUAGGGAUAAUUGUAUAUAUACCUCUCAUACGUUUGAAAAUAUCUAAUUUAUUCCUAUUUUUUCUUUCUAAAAUAUCUCUUAUAUGUUUUACUGUUAUUGCAAAAUAUCUCCACAGUUAUCUUCUGUUCAAUUAAUUUGGGUUAAACGUGAGUUAAAUAUCUACCACAGUUAAAAAAAAUUAAAAUACUAAUUUUGCCCUUAAUUUAAAGACAAAUAAGAAAUGUUGGUGACGGUAUAAGUGUCUAUUUGAAAAGACCAAAAGUCAAAAUACUUCUUGUACCCCUGACUUUAAGGGCAAAUAAGAAAAAUCGGUGAUAGUAGAAGGGUAUAUUUGAAAUGGCAAAAUAAUAUUCCACGGAGAUAACAGAGUUCAUUAAUAGAUUUUAACUCUAAGGGUAUAUUUAAAAUAGGUUGGAACGUAACAAAAGUAUUUUCAAUAUUAGCCUUCUAAGAUGGAUAAAUCAGAAACUUGAAAAUUUUUCAAAAAUAUAUAAGCAAUUGCCCCUCUAAAUUAUCAUCAAAAAUAAUUCCCCAGUAUGGUCCUAGAACAGUUGCAGAGUACAUGAAUUUAUAGGAACCAAAAUUUUGACUUUUAACUGCUAUAUUUUCCGACAAUGAAAGGGACGGGAGCUAAUUCGCUCUUAUAUAUCUUGAUCAGAUACUAGAAUAUCAACCAACUGUACUAAAUAAUGGCGACAGUGCCGCCCGGUAUUUGUCAAUGAUUUAGAACAGAUUUUGGAAAAAUGCUUUUGUUGCAUAGAUCAACAUCAACAAGCCAAAUUUUCACAAACAUGUCGUUCAAUUGUUUUUUUUUUUUUUUUUUUUUGAAAGAUAGGUAGCGCACGCUAUCCGCUUCGUUUAUUUUAUUUGAAAAUAAACUUAACUGAAAAUAUAAAUCAACUAGGAUUCGAACUUGAGUCUCGAAUAUCAAUCAUCAAACCUUUUGCCACUUGCUCUAGAAACGGUUGGUAUGUCGUUCAAUUGUUAAUUGUACAUUUUUUAUGAGGGAAAAAAAAAAAAAAAAGCGGCAAAACAGAAAAAAACUAUUGUGGAAAACUUAGAUCUGUGGAGAAGCUUUAAACAUGAUGAGAGGAAUCAACUAUGAACCCAUGUCAAAUUUUCCAAAAAAAAAAUGGAGAACUUAUGCAUAAUAGUAAUAAAAGAGUUCCACGCAAAAUAAUAGUGUACCGGCAUAAUUCCAUCGAACUAGGAUUUUGCAAACCAUAUUCGUUUUUGUUACUAGCAAUGACAAACUCAAGAAACCAAGUAAAAAAACGAUGUUAGAUAUGCAUGUAAUUUAUUAUGGACUAAAAAGGCAGCAUCUGCAGCGAGAGCACAAGCAAAAAACAAAAGCCUAUAAGCGCCACUAUCAUCCAAUUAUUGGUUCGCUAAAUCGGUAUCAUUCUACACAAACUGCGAAAAUAAUCUCUCGUAUACAUCAGCACGAAUGUAGUUAAGAAAAGAAAUUUAAUAGGAGAAGGUUCAAUUGAACAUUACUCUUCCCCACUUUCCUAUAUGAUAUAUGACUCGCGCACUCCCACACUACGCUGCGACUGCCGUAGUUAGAAAUUUGAAAACCUUCACCCUUGAGCAUCUAAACAUUUGCUUGACUUGCACGGCAAACUUAUACCAAGCUUCCUGUUCUGCUGCCACCAGAAAAAUGCAAAGUAUGCAGAAAUCGACCGCGAUUUCACCACCUAUUUUUCCUCUGUUUUUUUUCGAUGUUUUUAUGAGCUCGCAACAAGAGGAAGAAGAGGUUCGGCAUUUACUAUUUAUUUCCAGAUCUUCACCAAUCUGUCAUGGCUUGCAGAAGCGACGAACCCAGUGAAGGGUGAUUGUGCCAAAGCAGCAAUUAAGCCUUCGUGAGCCUGGAUCGACAUUCUAUGGUUCUCUCCAAUGUUCCAUAGCUCCAGAGACUGAAAAUAAUUAUAAAAAAAGAGAGAUCAAUUUAAUUACAAAAAAAGAUAAAAUCUGGGCCAGCAUAUAGAAACAAUUGCGAUAAAUAUACAAUGAGAGCAAGGGAAAUUAGAACUGAAACGCGAAGGUAAGAGAGGGUUGUCGUGAUUUAGUAAUUGAAAUAGCUGAUGCCACCUAUAUGCAUUGUAUAGCGAAAUGUAGUAUCCAAAGUCCAAACAUCCUUUCCCACCAUCCUAGCUAACUCAAGGCUGAUUUUUUUUUUUUCCCUACCAAUCUAUUGCCCAUAAAGCGGAGAAAAAGCAAUUGUUGUUACUAACUUUUAGAGGCCGUUUGGUUCAAGGUUUGUAAUGUUCCAAAAAUGUUACCCAUUUUCAUAUUUGGAAUUGUAAGUUUGUUACUAACUUAUCAAGCCACUUGAAUUGAGAGAUUGUUAAGAUCGAUCUAGUAUAUUCUUAUUAAUAAACUAUUAAUAAUUCUCAUCAAACAUGAAAAUAAGAACACCUCUUAAUCCAUGAUAACCUAGCUUUUCUACCACCUAGGAAUCUACAAUAAUUCUACUAUUUCAAUAACACCUUUUACAGCUAUCCAACUUGAAUUAAAUGGUAAUGAUUUAAAAAAAAAUUCAAUAGAAACUAUGAAAAAUUACCGGAAUAUUAUAAACCGUGAAUCACACGGGCCCCUAAGGUCAUUCUAAUAUUUUAUGGGUAAUAAAAUUAUGAAAGCGGUGAUAACAGCACAGAGAUUGCAGGGGACUUUCAUCAGUUUUUCUGCAUCUUGGCCUUAAAAGUACAAACAUAAAACUAUUAGUCUACUACAGCCCUGUUAAACUGGUACUUAUAGCCCGUCGGGCAGUGAUUAUUAAGUGGCCUAAAAUGCAGCCAUAAAGUGCAAAGCGAAAGCACAUAAUAACGAAUAGAAGGUUCCUAACAAACACAACAGAAAUCAUAAGAACCAUUCCGUCCUCCAAAUCUUUCUUUUUUUGAGAGAUAGGUAGCACACUACCCGCUAGAAAUGUGAAUCAACUAGGAUUCGAACUUGGGCCGUCCUCCAAAUCUUAAUCAACAAAUUUACUACUACAGCAGUAAAAUUCUGUGACUUGCCUGAUAGCCUCCGAUAACCAAGAAUUUGGGAUAUUUUGGAUGGAACACGCAAGAAUGGAACUGAUUUCCAUUGGAGCUUAGCUCAUCAAUGCAUUGCCCUUGUGUCACAGACCAGAUUUUCACUGUGUCCUGGCUAACAGAUGCUAGAAAGUCACCAGAUUCAUCCCAACAGACAGAAAGUACCUCAUUGUUGUGACCCUGCAAUUUAAAAUAAGAAAGAAAAAAGAAAAAGAUUACGAAGAAACAUAAUAAGAUUGUAAAUAUCAUCAGUAAAUAUCUGUAACAAAAAUUAAAGAAUGUGAAAUUUUAUGCAGAAAUACCUUCAAAGAUUGGGUCUUUAUAUCUGCUUCAACAUUGAAAAGGUUCACUACAUUUUCAGCCGCUGCAGCAAGCAGUUGUCCGAUUCGAGGCUGAAAUCUUACUUUUCCCCUACCACCCUGUCUCACAAAACAGAAAUAUAAGACAGGACAUUAAAAUGUAACAUGUGGAUAGAAUACAUAAAGCCUUGAUACUAACCCUAUAAAUUCGUGUGGGCGCAUUCUGGCCAAUGGUCCAAAGACGGAUCUCGCCAUUGUCAUCGCAGGAGCAAAGAAUCUGUGUCAUCUUGGGAUGAAAAUCUACCGAGGUCACUUGAGAGCUAUGCCCAGAAAAAGUCUGUAAAGAACCGCUUUGCUGGAAAAGAGCAGAUUUCUGAAAUUAGUAUAGUAGAAGAUUAAUGAUGACAAACUAUUUUGAGUGGUAUUUGUAACUACGGAGAGAUGUUUCAUGAUAUUUUUUUUAUAUCAUUGUUUUGGAACCCAAAGUUUCCCAAGUUCUACCAGAGAAAAAAAAGAAAAGAAAAACAACAGAAGAAUAUCAAAACUGAUAUCCUCACUAUUUUAACACUCUAAAUUGAUACGGCUAGGAUCAAUUUUUUUAAACCCAAAAACUCAACUUGAUUCAGAAAAUAACUUAGUUCGAAGACCUAGUGGAGUUUUCUUGACGAUUUAGUUGUAAUUCUCUAGUAUUCAAGUCAAAUUACGAUCUCACUAUCACAAUGACUCUAUGCAGACAAACCACGCUGAUUGCCCACCAGUAACAGAUCUGACCAAAUUAUGUUUGUGCAUGCCCGCCAGCAUGCACAUGUGCACACGUGUGUGUGUGCUUGGGCUCAGUGUGUGUGCACCAUAAUUGUGCGCAAUCAGCAAAGAUGAAGAACAUCAAUGUUGAAAGAUAAAAACAGCAUUUCAUCACAGCACGUUAUAUAGUAGAAAACUAGCCUUAACUGUUGAAUCGGUUUUUUUUUGGGUGCUGAUGAACAUGCCAUAACUUCUACCUGACCAUGCCACAUUUUCCGCUGGCGAUACAAUAUGCUAUAAAUGGCAAGGAAAGGCUAUUUUUCCCACAAACAGAAGUGCAUUUGAAAAUAUGCAAUAAAUGUGACAAUACGUCGAAUCAUAUUUUAGAAGCUCCAAAAGCAGUCUUGCAUAUAGAAGCUAAAUAAUUUGAUGAUUUUAGAGCAAAUAUUGUGCAGGCAAAUGAUUAAUCUUGUAUGAUUUGCUUGAGAAUCAGAUAACAAAUAUUCAAAUAGAGCAAAACACAACAAUCGAAAGAUUAGGUUGCUUCUAGGUGAUUUAUUAAAAAAAGUGUAAACAUGAAAACAAGUAGAUCUAUCGGCAAAAAGUGGAAAUGAUAAUCUUACGUCCGCUGCAUUCCAUAGUCGUACAGUUCCAUCAGAAGAAGAUGUUGCCAGCUGGGUUGAAUUUGGCUUAAAGCGAAUAUCUGUGAUGAAAUUAGAGUGUUCUUCGCUUUUGGUCUCCACUUGUCGAGUGUCCAUAUUCCAGAGAAAAACCUACCACAUUGCAGACAAAUAUUCUAAGAUCCCAAUGUUCAAAGAGAUUAUCGGUAUACAACUUGUACGCAGACAAACCAUUUUCAGAAUCUGCACAACGAAAACCAAAAGAAAACAUACAAGUGGCCUUAUGUUGAAGUUAUACACCAUUUUCGUCCCACAGUAAUAGGCAUAAUACCCCUCUUAGACACUACCAUAAACAUUUCUUCAACACAAAUAUAAUAGUACAAAGCCAGAAUCCAUUGACAUCAGUCACUCUUCACACUAGAUCUUAAGCAAGAUACAAAGAGGUCGAUCCAUAUCAAUCACCAAAUCCAAAUUUUCUGAUAUUGGUAAAAGUAUUAGAAAAGUUUCAAGCUUAGUCCUCAAAAUUUCAGUUUUCAUAGUAGGGUCUCAAAACAUUGCAUUCCACUGAACUCUUAGUCCUUUCGGCAUAGUCCUCCAUUAAAAUGGAUGGGAAUGCUCAUCUAUCUCUAUGUACACAGUAUAAUCCAAGUACAUAAGCUCAGGGACUGAUUGUAAUAAUUGAAUGAUUGAAAAACAAGCUGAGAGCCUGAGACAGCGCUAAAAGAUUAUAUAAGGCAACUCGAUGCCGACAGCUUGAAAGAAAUUUUCAUUUCAUAAAUUCAUCGGAUGCAUCAUGUCCCCAAACUGAAAAUACCCUGUGGUUUCUGAAGUAAUAUGACACCAAGAUAUCUUAUGGGUAAACAAAAUUCAAAUAACGUAAAAUAGUUUACCUUCUUCUCAUGCCCAGCACUAGCUAGCAAUUUCCCAUCAGAAGAGAAAUGACAGCAAACAACUUUGCUGUUGCUAGCACGGAGACAAUCAACCUCAUUAAGGGUAAAACCUGGACAGAGAAAGAAACAUUAUACAGUGACUUAGCAAACGCAAUCGUUAGUAAAGGAAGAAAUAUUUUACCCUUUAGAGAUUCCGAAUUGUGCUCAGCAGGACUUCUUUUCAGCGCAGCGAAUAUGUCUCUUCCGUCUCCAUCGUCAUUCGACAGAAAUGAUUCCACAUUUUCAUCGAAAGAACCAACAUCCCCAAAAGGCUCCAGGUCAGCCUACCAUAAGAGUGAAAUAAUUUUAGUCAUAUAUGGAGUGUUAAUCUUGCAUCUUUAUUGUCAACUAUGCAAGGAGAUACCAUCUGAUUUGAAGAUGAAGCAAUUCCAGCUCCAUCAGUGAACAUCGAAGUUUUCGGCAUAAUGCUCAGAUUUUGCAAGUUACCAGCCAUUGGAACUCCAUCACCAGGGGUAUGCGUGGAUGGGGUUGAUGGAGAAGAAGGUCCCAGGGUAUUUCCCGUACCAGUACUAUUAGCAGCCCCAGAAGAAGUAGGCUUUCUUUUCCUUGUAUUCUGCAGUCAAACGUAAAGAUGAUUUUAGACUGGACCUUGAAAAAAGAAAAAUACUUUAGACAAUCAAAUAACUUACUAAGCAUUGCCAUAAUUACAAGCAAACUACACUUCUGAGAGAGAGAGAGAGAGAGAGAGAGAGAGAGAGAGAGAGAAUUGAAUCCUUUGUUGCUAUGCCUGCUGCAACUGUUGGCGCAACUGCAGUUCUUGCAGGUGCUCUGAUUAGAGGACCGCUGCAUUUAGGCCACCUUAAACUAACAAUUAUUUCAACUAAGAGACCCAGGUAAAAUAAACAACCAGAAUUCCUAAUGCCUUUUGAACUAUUUAAACCAAAUUUUCAAACAAGCAUUUAUGAAUUCUAAAAAGCAAGAUAGAAAAAAGGAACAAAGCAUUUAGGCCUUAAACUCUUUUUUCUACUUCUAAUAAAACCUCACUAACUUAACGUCACAUACUCAAAUGAAAUAACAAAGAUACAAUAAGACAUUAUGCUAACAGAACUGACCUUCAUUACAUACUCAGCUUGAUCUGGCCUAAUUUUGGGCGAAUUGGCUUGAAUUGGAGAACCAAUUGAUCCGUCAUUCCCGUUGGGUUGACCGUCUUUACCACUCAAGCUACUCCUAGGCAAUCCCCUAAAUCUUCCAGUAUCAAUGUCGCCAUAGUUAGGUGGGAUACCAAGGUUGUUGUGAGCUUGCGCUUGUGCUAACAGUUGUUGCUGUUGUUGUUGAUGUUGAGGGAAAACUUGGAACUGAGUCUGAGAAGAUAUAAGCGGCUUUUGUAUACCUAGAUUUUGCCGUAAUGGGUCAAUACCCUGAAAAGUUCAACAAAAUUUCUAAAUUGUUAAAAUUUAUCUGCAAAGAGUAAGAAUAAUAGCUUAAACAUAAAGCUUACUGUUGUUAAAGGCCAGCCUUUUAACGGGCCACUCACACCUUGGUUCAAUCCUGUAAAAAUGGACAACAGAAAAAGAAAAAAAACAGUACUGUAUAUUACACAACUGUUAUCUGAAAUUUCAUAUAGCAGACCACAUAGUGCUAGACGAUGUAUCAUCUAAGAAUUUUGAUCAUGGACUUUUGAGUAUAAAUUAUCUGCUUCAUGUGCAAAAGUAAUCAAUAAGCCUAUAAUCAUACUAAAUCCAACCACAAAAUAAAUUAUAGCAACAUCCUAUAAGUACCACAGAAGUCACAAUUAGAUAUUUAAAUCAGAAGAAGAUAUAAUGCCACUAUAUUUAGCAUGUUAUGAAGAUACCAUAACAUUAAAAAGAUCAACUAACCACUUUGGCAUAGUAGAAUUGAGUUUCAUGAGCCAGUAACCAACGACAUAAAGUAACAGAAACAGAUUCUACAUCUAUAUUAAACAAUAUGUUAUAAUAACAGAUACUUGCAAAUUACAGUGUAAGGGCAAAAGACAAGUAAAGACUGGUGGCACAAAAACUGGAGUACAGUAUCUUAUAACUGAUGGCACAAAAACUGGACUGAUCUAUACUUUUAUGCCUGACUGAACCAAGUUACUGAGAAGUAUCCCUACUAGGCUGAGAAUCCAUGAUCACACAGAGUAUGCGACAAACAGUCUAAUUUACUCCAAGCCAUUGUUUAUAAAUUUAUAGAUUAUAAACUCACAGACAUUCAGUGUGCAACUUGUAGCUGCACUUCAAGUUCUAGUUCUUUAAAUUUUGGGUUGGCACAUGUACUUGGAACACGUUGGCAUUGUUCUAACUUCUCAAAAGAAACGUUACACAUAGUUUUCCUGCCGUCUUAGAUGAAUAUAACAUAAGGUCUCCAACAAAAUCAUAUAACAUGUGGCUAUGCAGAAAUUGCAAAAACAAAUUAAGUGACAACUGGCCUAUGAAGAGUUAUCAUACAAAAAUUUUAGGGCAAUAACAUUCACUAAAAGAGAUUUAUCAAUUUUUAAACAUGUCACAUAGAGAGGAAUAACUGAUUAACUUCAUCCAUUCCACAAAGAUUUACUUACCAGCACCUGCUAAUCCAGAUUUUCCCUGCAUGAUGCUCUGACCGUACAAUGAAGAUGCAUCCAUUGGCAAAGAUCUUUGAGGUACACCCAACUCAUUUUUGAUCUCCUGCAAAGCUUGUAACCAAAGUAUCAAAUAACAUAAUGCAUGGUGGGUCAAAAAGGUAAACAAGAUGAAAUUCAAGCUAAAAUGAGGAAGUGAUUACAGUUGAUUGCUGAUUUCGUGCCUGAAUAAGCUGCAAAGGUGAGACAUUCAAUGAAUUACCUUGGACUAAUUGCCUGCUCAGUAAAAGAGGAAUUAUUAAACAUCCUUGUACUGCAAAUUACAUUACAUAUUAAGAACAGAACAAUUUACAUUACCCAGGGCUGGCUGCUGAUUUCAGAAGGUUAAGCCUACUAGCAUCAAGUAUUUGUGAAGAUGCCUCAGAAUCCAUUGAAUUCGGAUGCUUCAUACGUUCUUCAUAAAUCUUAGCAGCCAAAACACUAGCUGUCGGCGACGCUAAAAUAGCAUCGGAAUUUAUGGAAUUUAUUACACCAUUAAUAGCUGGAUGGUUCACAUCUCUUCGGUGAAUCUGUGGAUGUCGUUGAUUCAUGAGCUGCAGCUGCUGCAUCUGCAGUUGCUGCUGCUCCCUUGUUUUCAAUUGUUGUACCUGCACUUUUACAUAGCUAGUGAAUCACCUCCUUCAUAUAAGUAGAGGAGGAGCAAAAGAAGAAAAAAAUAAAAUCAAGAAACAUUAAAAAGUACCUCUAGGUAUGCUGACGCAACCUCUGAGUGCUUUCCGUUAGUUCUUGCAAUGAAUAUGUCCCAAAACACAGACCACCACUCAAAGAGGAAUCCUCCAGGCGCGUCAAUAGCUGCACAAUUAAGCAUGUUACUUUUGGUUAUUAGGCAUUUUUAAAAAAAAAAUCAAAUGUAACUGGGCAAACUAAUACUGCUUUUUUACAUGAGCUGAUUAGAUGGAGCAAAUAAAGGAAAACCAUAGACAGAAUCUUGCAUAUAAUAAUAGUGAACGCUUUGGACAAUCGUUGAUAUUUAAAGACUCCAAAAUUUUCAUCUAAAAACUGUUUCGUUUGAAGUAGACGACACAAAAAAAAUGUCACAUUCCCCCUUUUCUUCCCUUUUUAACCUUCCCCAUCCUUGCUUAUCUAGACAAAAGUCAAGUGCCCACUCAAUUUCACUCUUAAUUACACAUUCUAAUUUGUGAGUUUAAAGAGAUGCUGUCUACAAAUUUUAAACAGAAUUUCCCAAAAAAGAGAAAAGUGUGAGGACCAUGAUGGUGUUUAUGGGGCACCUUAGAAGUUUGAUGCUCUAUUUAUUGCAUUUAAUGGAACCAUUUUCACUAUAAACCUGCACUGCUGCUAUUAACAAAGAAACAACUUAAAAGGAAAAGAAAAUUGAUGUGUCUCCCAUUAAAUCAACGAAUGCAGUAUACGCUAUAAAGAAAUUGAAUCAAGAAGUAACGAGGUUUUGUAUUCUUCUGUUGUUUUCUGUUCUCAUGAGCACUAAAUUCUACAAUUUCAUUCAGCAGAACUUUGCAGAAUGUGGUUCAUUCAAACUGCAAAAUUAACAGAAGAUUAAGUAUCCACUCCCUAGUUUAUUUCAAAUCGUAACUUCUGCAGAUUCUAAAGUUAAGCCUUUCUGUUACUAAAAUAAUAAUCCAUGUUAUUGUUGUUGCUAAUCCUAUAAUGACAUGAUGCGACAAUGACACUGUAAAAAUAAUAGAUCCAAUAACUGUCUAAUGGAGUCUUAAUCUCUUUGCAGUUAGGAAGAGAUCUUAGUACGGUGAUUCACCUGUUUCCGGUACAUCUAACUAACAUGUAGCGCCAAAGAAAGAAAUUAAACAAAGAAGUAAAUAAAAGGGAACUGUGUGCUCAUUCAACGCAGUCGCUUUCUGUGUAAAACACACUGCAAUCCGAGUAAAACACAUAUUACCUACUGGAUCUGUGGCAACCUUCCCCUCGGCCAUGAACGAUUUCGCGGUCGCUUGCAAAUUCCUCUUCAACAGGUAAUCGUAAAUGUACACAUCGAGCCUAAAAACCACAUAACAAAGAAGGUCAAAAUGGAUUCACCAAAAAAAACACAAAAUUUCUUAGAAAAAACAGCAGAACACCCACAUCUUAUCCGCUUCCCAAGUGCCCUGCGCCAUGAUCACGCUCUGCAAUCGCGCACAGCCGGAGAGAGACGAAUCUCACACACGCCCCCUACAAUCGCAUCGAUCUCCUUCCAAAAUCGAAAUGAAAUCCCAGACCCUAAUUUAAAAAAGAAACACGACCAUAUCACGAUCCGCAUUUCGCAAAACCCGCUGCUAUUACUCAUCACUCUGGAUCAAAAACCGAUCGUUUCUACCAAAAUUUUACGCGAUCGGUACGUACCUGCGGGUAUCUACGGAUAAGGGUCCUCCGAUUUGGGGAUCGAUCAGGAUCGUAGAGGGACCGUAAUCGAAACCCUAGAUAUACGGACGAAUAUAUCAAAGAUUCGGAGAAUGGGGAGAAACCAAAGAGGAGGGGGGAGAGGGGGACGAGAUCGAACGGAGCUGGGAUUUCUUGUUCUCGAUUCGGAAUCCGAGCCUGAGGUUCGGAUCCGAAGCUGAGGAGGCUUGGAUUUUAUCGUCGCUCAAACACUUAAAAAAAAGGAAAAACUUCGAAAAUCCCCCCUAUGGUUUCGCACUUUCUCAUUUCACUAUCUUGUGGUUUAAAGUGUAUCAAUUUGUCCCCAUAUGGUUUUUUUUUUUUUUUCGACAGUUUUUUUUUAAUAUUUCGUUAAAUUAUAUACAAAAAACUUCAGAUACCUAUCUAGAUUUAUCGAAUAUUUACUUUAUUACCCUUUAAUUUUAACUUUGUCACUGAUUUAAGAAAAAAUAAUAAUAAAAUUGGUACUAAAAAGAGAAAAACGAAAAAAUAGGGGGACAAAUUAAUAGACUUUAAACCACAAAGUACUAAGGUGAGAAAGUGCGAAACAACAUCGGUUUUUUGAAGUUUUCCCCAAAAAAAGAAAAAAAAAGGUAACAUUGCAUGAAGACCCCUUAACUAUGAACAAUUUGAAGUUACCUUAACUAUGCAAAAUUUUUAAUUUUUCAAAAUUUUAAUUUCACUGUCCAAUCUUUUAAUUUAUUAAUUUGAGUGGUUCAACAGUAUUUUGAGUUUAAAAUUUAUUUAGUUAUUAAUUUUAAUAAAUCUAAAGUUGCGAGAAUAAUUAUAUAAAGCAUACUAAUUAAAUAUGUAAAUAUAAAAUAAAAGGAUUUAAAAUUUGAAGCCUAGGUGUCAGUUACUUAUUCAAAUCAAAUAAAUUAAAAAUUUAGAUAGUAAAAUCAAAAUUUUUAAACUUUGAGCAGCUCAUUUAAAAUAAUUCAUAAUUUAAGUAAGUUUUAUGUAUUUUUAUCUAAUUUGAAAUACGCCUUUUGACCAUGAUUUUUUUUUAUUUUUCACAUUCAUAUAGAUUAUUUGAUCAAUGAUCAGGGGUUUUGAUAAAAAUUAACAAAUUAUAACAAAAUUUACACUUGAUUUCGAAAAUUACUUAAAGCUCAAAGAGUUUUUUAAAAAAAUCUUUAUUUCGUCCUAAAAUAAAUAAUAAUAAUCGAUCUGGAUUCUUUUCAAAGAUCUUAUCAUUGAGGGGUCUCCAUGCAAGUUUUACAAUUGACAUCACUCCCGUUCUUUAACGGACGGUUAAAGAUCAACUAAAAGAUGUACGGACGAUCAUUGAUUAAAUCUCAACCGUUCCUUUUUCUGUCGGAUGCGUGGAUAUUUGCGCCGGGUCGGGCGAGUCAGCGUUCACACGGAAAAAAAAAAAAAAAAAGACAAAAAAGAUAUUUGCGUACGACUCCGCGCAUACAUCUUCCGUGCGGGGGCUCGGCGCAGCGUCCACAAGCGUACGAUUGUUCGCACGCGUGAGAAACGGUAUUCACGCACGAAUCUCGAUGCGUACACCGUUCGGUGGGGGGCCACUCUAGCAAACUAUGCGUGUCCCCGCAGAAAAGAUAUCUAUGUUCACACGAAAGCUCUCGCUGCUUAUGCACCCAAAAAGUUGUGACGGUAAUAAAUAUUCUAAAAUGUGACAGUGACACGGAAUUAUCUGAUUUUUAACCUUUUUUUUUUAUUUUUUUAUUUGAAGUUCAGGGAUGUUGAUGGAUACAGAUAUUCGUAAUUUUAUUCGGAAUCAUCUUCGAAUCCGACGAAUUUAAUUGAUACUAAAUAGAUAUUGCUUUGGAUAUUGAUUUUAUUUGCAUCCACUCUAAACCCGAAUUGAUUUUACCUUAUAUAAUAUGUAACUAUUUGAUAUUAUAUUUAAAUUUGUAUUUUAAAAUUUUAGUUUUAAUGUAAUAUGUUUUGAAAUAUGAUAAAAAUAAAUAAUUAUUUUGAUUUCAAUUUUUUGGGUUCGGGUUCCAGUUUCGAAUUUUUAGUCAGCUUUGGGUUUGAAUAUAAAUUUUUAAAAUUUAUCAUGUUCGAAUUCAGGUUUUAAAUUGGAUAGUGAAAUUUGGGCUCAGAUUUUAAAAAUUUAGUCUGAAUCCGAUGAGUUGACCUUCCUAUUGGAGUUCAUGACUAACAUGGCAAAUCUCUACAUCAAUGUCAACUAGUCAUACCUCAUGAUUUGAUUAGAUUAACUAAGCGAUUGCGUCACGUCACUAUAUUUCAACCCGUUUCUUUUCGCUAUGAUUUGAAAAUUUUAAUUGACUUGAGAUACAAUAACGCAAUGCUACUGCUACAUGGAAGAUCAUCUCGUAAAUAGGAUUAUCUGUAGUAUCCUUUCUUAUAUAUAUAUAUAUAUAUGUAUAUAUAUUAGUACCUAGACUAAGUGUGCAUGGCUAUGGAUGCCACGUGCACUCCCCCAUGCAUGCUUAUCUGGUUGAGGGUGGCUCUAAUUAAGUUAGUUUUUGCUUUCUCUCUUUCGUGUGAAGUAGAGAACCACACGAGGUGGAGCUUGGGGGAGUAGCCGUAGAGCUCGGAUUCAACGUCGACAUCGCGCCGCGGAGCCGUUCGAGGAUACGGUUGCAGUCGUAGCAUCGCGAGGAGUCCGGGCGAGGGCGUGGUUUCGCCGUUCUCGACGUCGCACGCGUUGGAUUUAGCAUACGAGGUGGGUUUAUCAUCGGAAUCCUACUUCUAUAAUAUUGUUCAUCGAUAUGUAUCGUUAAUAUUACAAGUUGUUAUUGUUUAGCUCAAAUUCAUGAGUAGGUAUGUUUUAGACAUAUAAACUGAAUUGGGAGCAUGUUAUUAGUUGUUAUUAAUCAUACAUGUGGGACUUGGAUAAAACAUAGGAGAAAACCAGCGUUCGGAACCUGGCAUAUGUUGAAUUACCUGAUUUAGCUUUAGGGGCCGUUGUAUUUUUAUACAGUUGUUGUAUUCGGGUUGUGAGUACCCCAGGUAGUUUAGUUUACUGUUACACUCGUGCUGGGAUGCCGAGUUUAUUUUAUAGUCAUGUUUAGACUGUUCUGGACUAGUGGGUGCCGUCGUGGUUGACGGUGGACCCGGAUUUGAUCAUUUUGAGAUUUGAUUGUGCCGAGGGCAUGUGGAUAGUGGUUAGUGGUUCAGUGAGACCUAUUGCUUGACUUAGCCUGUGAGGGCAGCCUGAGAUUGACAGUAACCUCGUUGGGUCGCGCCCACGAGAGCCAUUCCGGAAUGAUGUUUCAGUGCGAUCGGUGUCGCAGUUUCUGUUAAAUAGUUACGUGCCGGCCACUUGCGGGGUGGUGUACGGCAUAGCUGAUUACAGGCAGAGUGGGUCCGUUUGGACAGCUCAAAUGAGAUUUGUGGUGAAUCAGUUUGAAAUGCGAUUGGGUCAAGUGCAUAUUAGAUACAGUAGGAUAGUGUAGUGGCAUAUAGCUGUAGAUUUCUUUCCAGCUUUACUUUCCAGCCUUGUUUCCUACUGUAGUCUUAGUGGGUAAGCCGAUGAUGUUGAGGGCGGUACCCACUGAGGACUACUUGUUUUUACAGUAGUUCUCACGCCCAGUUGCUCCCUGUGUUUUGCAGAGCCUUCUGUUCCGGCGGCUGCAGUUUCUGAGACCGAUCGAGGGAAGGGUGUUGCGAGUUAGAGCCCUACCUGACGAGUCGCCGUGCUAGAGGAUCCCCAGCUGCAGGUAGUAGAGUUUUAUUUUUCGGUAUUAUGUACAUACUGAUACUGAACUCGCUGGAGCGAGUGGUUUGUACUUUGUAUAGUAUGUAUACAUUUGAGAUGCUUUCUUUUUGGUUCUACCUGCUUAGUUCUUUACAGCUCUACGCUACUGUUUGUAGCAUUGUUUGUUUACAGAUACUGUGAUUGCUUCGUAUACAGAAAAAAUUUCUUGUAUACGGCGGAUCUAUUAGCGUGCCCGGGAAAAGUGCUAUCCGGGGCGUGACAUUAUCCCUCAUUUUUUUUUUUUUUAAGAGAUAGAUAGUAUACUAUCCGCUUCGUUUAUUUCAUUUAGAAAUAAAUUCAGCAGGAAAUAUGAAUUAACUAGGAUUCGAACUUAGAUCUCAGGUAUCAACCACAAAGCCCUUUGCUACUUGCUUUAGGGACGGUCGGUUUUCCGCAUCUAAUUUUUAAUAAUUAUUCUAGCUCAGAAUCUUAAUAAGAAUACAGUAUUAAACGGUGGAUCUAGAAAGAAUCCAAUAAAAAGAAUGGAAGGAAUAGUUGAUUUGGUUUUGUGGAGAAAGUUUUACUAUACGGCAGUCGCUAAUAUCCAACCAAUCACGUAACUUAUUUGGAAAGAAAAAUACAAUAAAAAUGUUUUUUUUAAAAAUUAUGAUGGAACGGGUAAAUUUUAGAAAUAAAAUUUGAUUAGUUAAAGACACCCUGUUAAUAGUAUGACUAUCAUAUUUUAGACUUUUUUGGUGAAACACUUUAAUAUGUCAAACGUGAAAAAUGAGACCUUUAAAUUCUUGAUAUUAGUUGAUCACAAUAAAUUGUCGUGAUGUAUAUAUUUAAUGAUAUAUUAGCGUGUUCUGCAAAUUUACAAUUAAUGUAGUAUUAUUAUUAUUGUAAUCCGUACUACGAUUUAGAUGAACUUCAUGAGAAAAUGAGUACCUCUCUAAAGUCUAAACAUACAAAAGUAACUUAUCUGAAGUUGUGCACCAUUUUGAAUUAAUUAUCCAAACAUUCAAAAUAUCAAUUUUACUACUCAACCUUUCAAAUUUAUUUUUGAUUUAAAUUAGACAACGAUACUUCAACUUUAAAAUUUGAAUGCAUCAUACAAUUCUCCCAAUAAAUUUAUCACAGUAAAUAAUUAUUUUUAAAUUUUGAAGUGCAGUAUGCAUUUUAAUUUCAGAACCAAAUGUAGGACACCACAAAUACAUCAAUCCAAUGGGAAAUCAAUAACAUUCACAGCAAGAUUCGCCGAAAUAUUUCAAUUGUUUCAGUUUUUUCACCACUGUUACCCAACACAAGUAGGAGCAGGAGCCAUAUGUUUCAAAUAAAAGCAAACAUCAUAGCAGCAAGGAAAAAGAAAAACAAUUGUCCCUGUAAAAGGCAGAUAAAUCGGCAAGUUCGAAGCGCACGAGUGCUUCGGAAGAAUGGUGUGUGUAUGAGGGUCACUAACUAACAUAUGCGCCUAUCCCUGCUGCCGCAUGGGGGCUCUCGGCCGCCCGUGCCUCUCCAUCACUCUCCUCGUGGCAAGGGCCGCCGCCUCACUGGCUCGCAGAGUUCCCGUUGCCAUGAUCGCCGCGAAUUCCCUGGUAAUCUCUUCCUGCACCUUUUGGCGAGCCUCUCUGAGAGGAUCCGACGAUUGGGCGUUCUUUGUCUUGGCUUCUGAAUCAGCUGCAGGCGGAACUGAACUUCCCCUGCUCUCUGCAGUUUUAGCAGAACUCUCGGAAGCAGGACGGCGGGAAUCAGAUUUGACAGGACUAUUGGUAGUAGUCGAGCUUGGCGUUUUGUUUGCUGGUGGAGGCUGAGCAACUGCAGGGGAGGGGGGUAUGAACUGCGGAGCUUGAGGAACUGCUCCGGAUCUCAUGGUGGUUUCUAGCCUCUGAAUCAUUGGUACUGUAGACGAAGAAAUGUCACUUAAAAAUGGAAAAAUGUACUAACCCUAGACACUACAAGUCUACAACUAAAAGAAAUAAUAUCCCAAACUGUCAGUGUUUCAUAUUCAGACCUUUUGAAGGUUUCAGUCAGUUCAGUUCUAAAUUUUUCCCACGGCAGGUUGAAAUGAUAGAACCUCAUAAUCAUGGAAGUAGAGAUUGAUGGAUCCGAGUGCAACAGAUUGCAAGUUGAGGCCUCAUAUGGCCGCAUAAUGUUUUGGUUGUGCAGAUUGACCUCUGCACUAGUUAUUAUAAGCUUAGAUUGUACACACCUUUUUAUUUCCGUAAAAUUUACUACUGAGUUUGUUUUUUUUUUUUCUCUUUUAAUUUUGCCAAAGAAACCUCAUUGAUGUAUAGAGAUAACCCAAAAAAGCUGAAAUGAAAUAUCUCACAUAUCAGUGCACCCAUUGGGCUGUUCAUCACAUCACUGGGGAGCUCCAGAAUGUAGCUAGGUAUUGAGGCACCGACCAAAAACUGGGCAACCUCAUUGCUGAAGUUGUUGCAGUUGUGGCUAAGAAGGUUGUAAGUCUCCGGGGUGUAGCGCCCGCUGAUCUCCUGCAGAUAGUCCUCAAAGACCUCCUUGGGUACAUGCGUCACCCCGAGAUCUACAACCCGGACUGGUGUACCAUACGGUGUCCUCCCUGCCGGAUCUUGUUGGAUGCCGGCACCAAAAUAGUACUCAGUUCCAUAUACUACCACCCCGGUAUGCCUGUAACAUCAUAUACAAAAGAAGGGCUUAAUUGGCCAAAUUGCUCACUAAUACAUACUACAUAGCCAAUAGAAUGAUAGAUAUAAUCAUACAAUCGUAAAAUUGACCAACAAGGAAUCAAACCAAGUACAUAGUUGCCAAUAUUGCAGUAGCUCUCAGUAACUCCCAAACCGAUUCUAUACGAUAGGCACAAAUAAGUAGAUAAGUUAAAAAAUACUUAUCAUCUCAGCAUUCACAAUUUGCACAACUUUCUAUAACUACUAGAUGAAUUAGAAUGUUGCUCAAAAUCCAGCCCGUCAACAGGCUGUGGGUCAUGCAAAAUUAAAGGAAAAGGCUUGUAAUAUCAGGAAGCCAUUCGACACCUUCAAGGAAGAGGUCGCAUUCUGUAAAUAAGAAAAUGCUUUGAAUCCCCUAUAAUGCCACCCUUAUGGGCCCCCUAAUAUGUUGUGGCCUGCACCAUAUAAGCCAAUCUGCACAUGACAUGUCAACAGUCCAUAAUGUCAGUAUUCAGGGGACCCCGGCAGCACUCUUGUAAGCAUUCACUCUCGUACUAUGAACUUGACUAUUUUAUAUGGCGAUGUGCAACAUGAGGUAUUCCAAGUAGCACAUUGGUGAUUUCACAUCUAUGUAAGAAAAAGAGAAGUGCAAAGCGAAAAAUAUAAGCCACAAAAUUCAAACUAAACAUUCCUAUAGAAACAUUAGAACACAAAGUUCAAUAUAUGACGAUCAUGGUGGUAUAGACAAAAAGAAAGAACCAAGGGAAUGCAAGUAACAAGAAGAUAAUAGCAUUUUUGUCCAGCCAAGUUAUCCUUCCGAUCCACAACGAACCUACCAAUAAGAAACCCCAUAUUUCACCUGUCCAAAUCCUGGUACUAAACUCUUCCUUGCAUUCCAUUUCCCACUAGAGAAAUGAUGUUCUCAAUCAUCAUCCCCAGUGGCGCUGUUCUGACGCUUAGCUUGUAGGAAACACCACAAUAUUAAGUUUUCCUGGGAUUCAUUGUUAUGAUAGUUACUAUAACCAACCGGGCCAAACUCUAACAUUUUUGAUAGAAGGAUAGAUAAUGAUACAGGUCACCUUUUUUAAGUUAGCUUGGAACUAACACAGCACUUUUGACAUCAAGGAGUCGUUCUACUUACAGAGCCUGUUUGAAGGCCAAAACAAGUUAUCUAGUAAUUAACUGCUGAACUAUGAGGAUGUCCUUUUAUGAUUGAAAGCUAGGAGUUUAAUUUUAGCUGGUUAUAAGGUCUUGGCGGUCAUGAUUUGUUAGACAUUUCACCCGCGAGCGAAAUGAUUGAUUCCUUGGAGACCAAAUAUAGUGUGUGUGCCUUUCUAGGCAUUUGAUCAUACACCUGAUGUACCAAAUCCUAUAAGCUUCUUGAAUAAUGAAAGAGAUUUGCUGAGCAAAAAUGUUCAUGCAUCUAACAGUUCUAAACAGGCCCAUAAUGUCCGAAGUAAAACGCCAUCUUCAAUAGAAGCUUACCAUAUGGCUUCAAUGGCUUUUCCUAGGAAUGUUGUCGAAAGCUGGCGAGCAAGCCCCUGACUCAAAUCAUAUACAUUCAAUUUAACCUUGUACCCACCCUAAACCACACAAAAAAGGUAACUUUAGCUUAUCAAACUAACACUAACAUCAGAAAUCCGAAUCAAACACAAGACUAAGAAACUUAAACCCUACCUCCUCCAUUUUUUAACAGAUCCAAAGAAACCUACAAAAAGAAACACCAAAUGCUUAGAAUACCCAAACAAACACAGAUACAGAUGAACAACAAUGGUAACUCAUACUCCGAUCAUAAUCAACCAAAUUCUCCUAAAUUCUCAAUCAACCUAUGACAACACAAUAUUAGCAUAAAACUAGUAAAAUAAAUCCUCAAAAAUUGCAGCAAAAAGUUUUAAACUUCCAAAAUCAAUCGAGCAGAGAAAAAAAAAAAAAAAGCACCCAUCCUCAAGCCCUAGAUCUCAACGAAAUCUGUAUCAAUCAGUCCCAAAUUACACAAACAAUCCUCCUAACAAGAUCAAAAACUGUAAAAAUUCCCAAAUCUAGAGCUCUAAUCCCUAAACUAGAUCAAAAAAAAGAAACCUUAACUAAAGAGGAGUAAAGAGAGAGAAAGGAGUUACCUUGGGGACGAAGAAUCAAGAAGUUGGAGCGACCAAAGAACGAAAAAACGCGCUGGGUUUGGAACCUAUAUAUAGAGCGGGUCUUCUCCGGAGGAUCUAUUCCGUGCACCUGGUUCACCAAAUCAGCAUGCUCCAUCCGCCGUUACUUCCAAAAUUGACAAUUAUUGGGCGGUUGAGAUCUCCAAAAAAAUAAAGACGACUGUCCGGUUCACAGAUGAUGUGGUGGACCGGGUCCCUGCAACAUCAGUGUAAGUCCCUGGUCCCGCCGGGAGUUCUAGAAUGUCUCUAUUUUUUUUUGCGUUUAACUCCCUCGAAAAUUUAUAUUUACAUAAAUAAUGCUCUUCUUGCCACCUGAGGGCCUUAGUGACAUUUUUAAGUUCAAUAUAGUGGUUCAAUUACUAUAUUUAAAUACGAUAAUAAUUAGAUAAAAAGAUAAACUUUAAAUACCACUCCUGUAAUUUCACAUUUUCUCACUUUAGUACCCUGGAUUUAAAGUGUAUCAAUUUAGUAUCAUAUGGUUUCAUUAUUCACUUUUUAUUAGCUCCUCCAUUAACAUUUUGUUAAAUUAUAUACAAAAAAUUUCAGAUACCCUACAUAAGUUUAUUGAAUAUUCUCACUUUAGUAUCUUUUAGUUUUAACUUUAUUACUAAUUUAACGAAAAAAAAUUAAUAGAGAAGAUAAUAAAAAGAGAAAAAUAAAACCACGAGGUACUAAAUUGAUACAUUUUAAACUGCAGAGUACUAAAUUAAAAAAUGUGAAACCACAGUGGUGGUAUUUAAAGUUUUUUUUAGAUAAAAAAGAAUACGAUAAUUCAGUCAUCGUAUUUAAAUACGGUGAUUCAUUGACGAUGUUCAACUUGAAAAUACAAAUACGGCAACAGCGUGGUAAGAAAAGGAUCAAUGUGCAAAUAUAAAUUUGCUAAGGUUAUUUGUGAUUUUUUUUUGAGGGGGGCUAAAUUCCAAAAACAAACCCUUUCUAGAACUUUCUCACCAAUUUCUUGAUCCGCACGUGUUAUAAAGGUAACAUGGAUUGGGGGGAUUUUUUUUUUUAAAAAUUUUUUUUGGCUGUUGUUGUUGUUGUUGUUGUUGUUGUGUGAGGGGGUUCUACAAUUUGCAAGGAAAACAUUUUGUGAAGGAUUUUUUAAAAAAUAAAUUCUUAAAAUAUUUAUAAUUUAUCAAAUAAUUCUAUCAAAAUUUAAUUUGGCAAAAUAAUUCUAUUAUAAUUGGCUAACGGUAGGCCGUGCUGGCCCGACACGGCCCACAUUCACCGGGGCCAAAUCCCAAGGGCCCGCAAACCGGGCCCAAGGCCUAAGGCCCAACUCCCAAGGGCCCGCAAACCGGGCCACGGGCUUCACUACUGGCCCGGCACGGCUCAGGCCAUAACGGGCGGUGCCGUGCCGGGUCUACGGGCUCAGGUGGAUCGGCCCAGCACGGCCCGGAGAGCCGGCCCGGCCCGAUCCGGCCCGACAUGAAUGCUACAGUAAUCGUGCCGGGCCGAGCGGCCCCCCUAGAUAACGGUAAAUCAUUUACCAUCUUUAAUAAAAUUUAAUAGGCUAUGACUCAUUUACUGUUUUUUUCCUUGAGAAUGAAAUAAUUCAUCAUUUCUUUCUGUUUCUUAUAUAUAAUCAGAUAUAUAUUUCAACAAAUGCAUAUAACCUUGACGGCCUAAAAAUAUUUAACAAUCUGUCUAUAUAAUUCUAACAAUUAAAUAAAAUUUCAAUGAUUCACAAACAAUCCUAACAUUCUCAUAAAAACACUCACAAUCCAUACACAAAAAUCUGUAAAUAAUGAUGAUAAUAAUAUAAAGAUGGGGAAUGAUUCAUCAUUUUUUAAAAAAUGGUGAAUCACUCACCGUUUUCCUCAUUUUUAUCUAAAUUUUUGUUCAAUAUGACACUAAGUUGGCGAGAAGAGAAUUAGUUGACCAAAUUUUUUAAAAAAAAAAUUGAAAAAGUCAUUUGGUCAAUUAAAUUUUUUUUAAGAAAUAUUUUUUGUCCACAUAUAAAUUUUAUAACAUUCGAUACAAAUAUAUAUGUUGACAUGACACUUUCUCGCCUAUUUUUCUAACGACUAUAAUUACUGUUUUACUUAUGAAUUAAACAUAUACUCUUCUAAAUUGUAACUGCUACGAAUUUAAAAUGCUCUACGUUAUUAUGUAAGUAAAAGUAUUAUAAAUAAUACAAAGCUUAAUUUAAUAAUGUGGUAGCUAAAAGUAUUAUUUUUAUAUUAAGUAUAUACUGCCCAAAAAUUUUAAAAGUAUUUACAAUUCUCUAUUCUCCAAUAUUAUAAAAUUAUAGUUGCAACUGCCACAGGAGGUCACAUAUUUCUUUAGUCCCGAUUACAAUCAUACUUUUAUAGUGUAAAAGAAGCGAAGAUAAAAAGCAACUUAAAUUUUUUUUUUUUAGAUUUUUAUAGUAUGAAAAUGGUAUUUUCAAUCACCUUAUUAUAAAACAAGAUCUAAAUAAGAUAGAAGUGGGCAUAAAUUACUUGUAAAGUUUAUUAUUUUCUUUUACUUUCAAACAUAUUUUGGAGUAUUUCUCACCCUGCAAUCUAAGGAUUCUCCAUAUUUGUUUUUUUUGUUUUUUUUUUUUUUUGGGAAAAACUUCAAAUACCACAUCUGUGGUUUCACACUUUCUCAUUUUAGUACCCUAUAGUUUAAAGUGUAUCAAUUUAGUGUUCUGUCGGUUUUAUUUUUUAUUUUUUUAUCGAUUUCACUAUUUUUUUACGUUAAAUCAGUGACAAAGUUAAAACUAAAGAAUACUAAAGUGAAUAUUCGAUAAACUUAGUGGGUAUCUGAAGUUUUUGUAUAUAAUUUAACGAAAAUAUUAACGGAGAAGCUGAACAAAAAGAUAAAAAUGAAACCACAGAAUACUAAUUUGAUACAUUUUAAACCAUAAGGUAUUAAAGUGAGAGAGUAUGGAGCCAUAGGGCGGUAUUUGAAGUUUAUCCCCUUUUUUUUUUUUUUUUAAUAGUGUGAAAGUUUACUUAUGAUAAAAGGAAAGUUAAAUUUUUUGAUGAAAAGUUUUUAGUGGAAUAACCAUGUCCAAAUAAUUUUGGAAAAACUUCAAAAAAAACCCAUGUGGUUUCUCACUUUCUCACUUAGUACCCUGUGGUUUAAAGUGUAUCAAUUUGCCCCCCCUGUGGUUUUGUUUUUAUCUUUUCAGCAGCUUUUUUUUUUUAAUAUUUCGUUAAAUUAUAUACAAAAAAACUUCAGAUACUCACCUCGAUUUAUCGAAUAUUUACUUUAGUAUCCUUUAAUUUUAACUUUGUCACUGAUUUAAAAAAAUAAUAAUAAAAUUGAUAAUAAAAAGAGAAAAACGAAAUCACAAGGGAGCAAAUUGAUACACUUUAAAUCACAAAGUAUUAAUGUGAGAAAGUACGAAACCACAGGAGGUUUUUUUGAAGUUAUCCCAAAUAAUAUUUUCUUACAAGCUUUAGCCACUGAAAAAAGGUUUAAGUGUAAACUCCAAUGUGUACAAUGCUACAUGUAUACCUCUAGAUUAGGUGUGUAAAACUGUAAGUAAAUUAUACCCAAUUUAUCUAAACAUUAUUAUUUUUCUACUAGUCUUAUCCCUUUUUGUAAUUACUUAAAAUCCAAAACAGUUUUGUAAAUUCUAUAUUACUACGUACUAUAUAUAAAAUGUCCAGGUAGUUUUGUUUUCAGGCCAUUGUCAUGUAGCAUAUUUUUUGUGUGUAAUUUAUCUUGUGAUUUUAUUUUGUUUUUAUCCUAAGAACAAACCAUAGAAUAAUAAAUUACAAAUUGUAGGAUGAGAAAACACUAUAUUAUACCAUUAUGUAGUUUGUAAAAAGUAUCAACUCACUAUCCUUGAUAAAAGUAAAUUCCUAUAGUAAAACAAAAAAUAAAACGAUAAGAUAGAUGAACUCAACUUUUUGAACUAUAAGAUGGCUAAGUGAAAUUGCGUUAAACCACAUCACGGAAAAAUUUAAAUUUACCCAAAAAAGUUAACAGUUAAGAUAGUGUAGUGCUUUAUAUUGUCUAUGAGGUUGAAAACUUGGACAAUGUCGGCGUCAAAUCAGCGAGAGCAAUACUAUCUGUACACUUAAUAUGAAAUAGGUAUACAGCUCACUUCCUAUGCUUUUUGUGGCUUAUAUUUACUCGCUCGUCUUAUCAUCUAAAUGAAAAAAAAACCAAAAAACUAUGCAGAUAAUAAUUGUAGGGCUUUUUUUUACAUUUGACCCUCUCAAAAUAUUUUUCUUUACAAAUAACCCCCAUCAAAUUUAUAAUUACAAAUUUGGCUCUAUCUCCGCCACGUGGGCGCCACAUCAGGGGCAUGGUGUUAAGUUGAACACGGUGAAUGGUUCACCGUGUUUUAUACAUAUAUUCCCCUUCUUUCCCCUUUUCAAUAUUUAUAAUUUUUCGCAAUACAAUACAUAUAUACUAUAUUUUUUCCAAACACGGUGAACCAUUCACCGUGUUUAGACACGUUGAAUGAUUCACCGUGUUCAACUUAACAAACUGACCCCAACCCCGCUGACGUGGCGCUUGCGUGGCAGGACUAGGACAAUUUUUACGAAUAUAAAUUUGUUGAAAUUAUUUUUAAAAUAAAUUUUUUUGAGGGGCCAAAUGCAAAAAAAAAAAACCCUAACUGUAUUUUCCAAUCAAUAUAGGCUCUAAACUGCUAAAGAUAAUUUGUGAUUUGUCAGUUCCAUUUUCAGUUUAAUAGGAAGCACUUUGGGUGGAAUCACUGUUUCUCACAUCCUCUACACUGCCACCAUGAUGAGAGCCCUUUAAUCCCUUCAAAUUGAAAGCCCUGUUCCCUAUUAACUUGACAGAACCCCUCAUGCUACAGCUUUGUGAAAGAACUUGAUGUACUUUUUACUACUGUCAAACAGUAAAAAAGGCAUUAAAAAGAACACCAAUUACUCACAGUAGAAGCUAAACACACCCACCAAAGAGAAUCUGUACCUACCACAAAUAAAUGUGUUCAAAUGAAAAGGUACAAUGCAUGAAUAGUCUCUGUACUGUCCCAAUAUGGUGUGACUUGAUCCUUGCACUUUUCACUUAAACAUGCUAGCUGUUAACAUUUACAUAUCUUAUUACAUUCAUUCUAGUCACUGAAUCACAAUCAAACCAUUAGGUGAGAANAAAUAAGUAAACCAUAACAAAGAAAAUAUAUAUAUAUUCAUUGUAACUAGCCCACAAUACUCAUUCCCUCUAAUUAUCAUCGAGCCAACAUGGACUUGGCCACAUUCAAUGAGCUUUUGUCCAUCAGGUCCAUCAGCCAAUGAGCUUUUCUUUUUCAGGUCCAUUAGCCAUUCAGCAGCAAUAUAGACGAAAGUUAAUCUGACUACACUGUCCAGAACCCACACAGACCAAGAAGAGAUUGUGAACAUAAUACUUAAAGAGAGAAAAUUUGAACAACAUUUGUGACUUAUAGAGAAUGAUGACCUUGUAAGAGUAACAGUGAAGUUCAGGAGUUAGGGGCUUUUUUUUUUUUCCUUUUGUUUUGUCCUUCUUUUCUUUCCAAGGUGCAACUCAUCACCAAUUCUCUAUGGUACAGAUAAUUAGAGGCUACAAACUAGUUAGAUUAGCUAAAUUUUUACAACACAGAGAGGAGAAGUUAAGGACAAUUGGAGAGGUUGAGAAAGGGAAAGAAACUGUUGCCAGAUGAAGAUUUUGAGAUUUCAAGCCCUAGUAAUCCAGCUUCACCCAUUCAUACCUCCCCGGGAGCGGGUAGUCGUUUAUCGGAUCAAAGUUGUACCUACAAAAUAUAAUUCCACCAAACUAUUAGUGCACGUACUUGCACGUAUCUAUAAGCAUCCGCACAAGCACAUACAUUUAAAGUAAACUAGUAGAUCUAAUCUACAACAUCUAUAAGGCCUAUAUGUAAGUAUGAUGACAUGUAUUUAUGAAUUCCGCCUCGAAAACUAGCCCCAUCACCUUAUUCCAUUCAAGAAGCUCUAGACUAACACCAUCUAGACUAGAGAAGGAAAAGGAACGGAGAAAAGUAAAAGAACAUAACAAAGAAGGCAUACUUCUCCAUAAAUAUUUGCUGUUGGAGCCUCUCCGCAUCAGCAAAAAACUCUUCCAUCUCAAGGGCAGUCGGGAAAGCUCGAUGCAGCAAAUUCCGCUCUCGGCGGUUUGAAGCACUCGAGUUCGUCGGUCUCGUUGUAGAGCUGGGAGUUCCUAUUGCAUCCGAAUCCCUUAUCAAACUACAAGGUGUUGACUCCCUCACAUCCCUGCAAAGAAAAAAAUAAUGCAAGGAAGCCCAAAAACAUUGUUUAGCAUUUAUGUUCUAAAAUUAAACAUUAAAGGACGAACACACCCUAGAUGCCCAAUAAAUGUAGACAUAAAAACCCAAAAUGUUUUUUUUCCCCUCAUUUGCCUCGGCAUAAAUAAAUAAAAACCAGCCAUAAAGGCUUGAUUUUCUUCAAACAAUUUAAUCGCGUCAAAUCCAUGAUGAAACUGCAUGCAGCUGUAAUCAGAGAGAGAAAACAAAAGGCGCUGCAACUCAAAGUCACAUGAGGAAGAAGGACUGGAAAGAACUUAUAGAAAGGACACUGAACAUUUAAUUAAAAUCACAUAAGACGAACCACCAUUUCGUGCCCCUAAGAUACUGGCUCGUGCUCCUAUUUUCGGUGGUCCAGGAUGAGGACAACCCUUCUGAUCAUGCUUCAGAAAAAAUACGACUAUAGUUCAAAUCAAAUUUUGGAUGCAUUUGGAUUCAAUGAUCUCUUGUCGGUGCCGCACGACCACAAACAGUUCCAAAAGCAGCACAUGCAAGCAAAUUAAUGAGCUGUGGAAGACUACACUUUCGGUAUCAAGAAGAGCUUAUGUUUGGUUGCGCAUAAGUGACUCGAGAACAACGUAAGAUUUCAAUGAAUGAUGAUACUAGAUUUGGUGUUUUCAAUACUGAAGUGAUUCACUUGUCGCGUACCAAAGGCCAAGAUAAAAAAUGGAGAAGCAAGAAAAGCAUGCAACGAGGAGAUGGCCUCAUGAUUAUCUCACUUCCAGCAAAGCAAGAUUUGAAAGGAUGAGCCUUACUGAAGUCCCUUUGUGUAACGGAGCAAAAAAUUUCAGUUUUACCGUUUGAAAAUCUAAAGUUGACAUCGGCAAACAACUUUCAAGAACACCACUUGAGCCUACUGUUCGAUGAAGUGCCUUUCAGGCUUUACUGAGGAAUGCUAUUACGAAAAGCAUUAUAUGAAAAUACCCACAAUAGCUUCUCUCUAGAGAAAGAAAAAGCAAAAGCUUCAAACUAGAACCUCUACUUUCGGGACACAAAUUGCAUUUCAGCUUGAGCUGCGGCAAAAGCUCGGGACUUUAUGUUUGCAGCUGAAAGCGGAACCAAAAGCAGACCAAAUAGGCUUAAAGAAGUACCUUGAGAAGUCACAUAUGCAACUUAAAGACCCACAUGGUCUUGCAUGGGUCAUCCAAGGAACCCUGAUAGGACUCAUAACAAGUAAAUAGUGGCCCUGCCUCAAGCAGUGGAAACUUAAAAGAAAAUAUGUUAGAACUGAAGUAAAAUUAAAAAAAAAAAAUACAAUACUAUCAGCAAAAUAUAAUUUAUUUGUAUAUGACAAACAGUCUCAUACAAGUUAUCACUUGCAGGAAACAGACACAGGAAAAGGCAUUAAUUUCAGGUCAUGUCAAAGAUAAAGUAAAAAGAAAAAAAAAACCCCACUAAUUGACAUAAAUGACCAUCAAAGGAGGAGGCCCAGGCCCCAGCUGUGUCUGCUGCACCCAUGUCAUAGGACUAGAGGAGAGUCCCAACCAUGGUAUUUACUUUUAAAUUUUAUUACCACACAGAAAAGUAAACAUAAGAUGAACAGAAAGAAAUGCCCAUGUACAGAAACCGAGCCAGAAUCAUAUGAUAGUGAAAGAUGUGAACACAACCUAUAACAUAAAUACAAUAAUAGAAUAGGUGCAUUUUUACAUCCUUGGAUACAUCAAGUAUUGCACAUAACUCCCAAAUGAUUUACAAGAAAUACAUACAAAAAAAAAAAAAUAUUAUUUUACCGCCCUGAAUGAUAAAUGACCGGUUUUGCGUAUAAUGUUAAAUCCGUCUGCACCGACAAUCUGAGUGCAAUUACUGUAUCAUUUAGGAAGGAUAUAUUGGGGAUUAUCAUUAUGUGCAAAAUUCUCACCAGCAUUUAUUUUUCUAAUGUGACAAAUUUACAGGUACAUACAAUGUAUGUUGUAAAGUAAGGAAAAGAUGGAGAUAAAAGUUGGCAUUAGCUGUGAGAAUGAUUUCUCAUCUGAAAAAGAUUAACUUUAAGAGACAGAGCAAGUGACAAAAACAGAAAGUAGAGAUAAAGAUGAGAGCUUUAUAGGGGUGGAAGUUUUCAAUUAAAGGGAAGAGAUUAGAACAAUUAGCUCAGGGGGUCCCCAAAACCCACUGAACAAUAAAAAGAAAAGUGAGCUUAUUUGUUCUACUACAAAAAUGAGGAGGAAACUAAAAUACUUCAUUUUGGACUCUCCUAGAAACCUAUAAGCAAUGCAUUAUGGCGUAAUUUCUUAGACUUUUCUACAGAAAAUUCUUGAUAUGACUGAGGUUCCAUCAAAACCCUAGAAACCAAAUUCUAAGAAAAAGAACACCUAAGAAAGGGGAAAAAUCCCACAAACGUUGAAAGAACCCAAAAGUUUCCAACUUUGAGAGAAAACCCAUCUCCACGCAUUCAAAAAAGAAAAAGACAAAGACAUAUAAAACCCUAGCUAUGCUACAUAAGCAUUGGGACAAGGAACCCUAACCCUAAACGAAGAACAAAAUCACAAAUAAACAAAUUAAAAAGGAGAUAAGAAAUCACCUGUCCCUAGCUUCCACGUCUAGAACGUUCUCGCCGAACGACGCCUCAACCUCCUCCUCUUCCUCCUCCUCCUCCUCCUCCUCCUCCUCCGCCGCCGCCGCCGCCGCCGAGGCGGCGAGCCUCGCGACCGAGCUCGACCCGGCCGAGCCUGAAUUGGCGCUCCUUACGCCGCGCCCGACCGGUUUGGGCGCCGCGGGUUUGGCCCCGCCCCGCUCCUUGGGCUCCUCCUUGGGCCGCGGCGGCGGGGGCUUCUCGAGGCGGCGGCUCCGGAGCUCGAGGUAGGCAAGGGAGGGAUCAGGGAAACGGGAAGGGGAGGAAGGGGAGGAAGAGGAGGAGGGUUUUUGAAGGCGCUGGAGAGCGAGGGUGCGGCUCCGCGUGCGGACGCCGAGCGGGGUUUGGUGGGCGGAGACCUCCAUGAGCGCGACCUCCCCGGAGAGCUUCGCCUUGCGCAUGUACUUCCCCAUGGCAACGGUGUCGUCGUCGUCGUUGUUGUCGCUGCUAGGGUUUACGCUAGGGUUUAGGGGAGCAUGCGAGGGAUAGGGAGAGGGAGAGGGAGAGGGAAGGGUUUGAGACGAGAGAGAAAGGAGGGAAAUGAGAGGAGGGGUGGCUUUUGUAUUUGUAGACGAGGGAGGGGGUUUUGUGCAAAAAAGGAGCCGGGUUCAAUCAUGUAUCGGAGUUAAUAAAAAACUCAGAUAAAAAAUAAGUUUCAUCAAAUUAAAUUUAUUCAAAAAUAAAAUAUUUGUUUCGAUUAAAUCAAUAACUCAACUAAAUUCGAAACUAAUUUAAAAAGAGAGAUUUUAGAAUUAGUGGGGAAAUAACAUAAAAAUGUUACUAAUAAUAACAAAUAAAUUUUUAUCGAAAUUUUAAAUAAAAUUUAAAAAUUAAAAAAUAAUAACUCCCGAAAAUUAAAGCUCUGACGUAACGUAUCGGCGAUAUGUUGAGAGAAUUUGGAGAGAGACGCGUUAUGUGAGUGGCCACGUGGAAAGCUGGGGUGGUGGCUUGUUGUGGGACCCACCUCGCGUCCAAGAUAAUCCUACCCGUACAACAUUGCGCGCCAAAAUGAGCUAUGCCAAUUUCACUAAAUAAAAAGAUUUUAAAAAUUUGCUUCCUAAGUUUUAUUAUUAGUAAAAAAAAAAAUGAGAUGAAUAGAAUAUCAUCAAGAACAAAAAAUAAGAAAAAAUUAUUUACUAUUAAUUUAUCUUAGCUAAAAUUUUCCUUUAUACAAAAAAUUAAGAAUUUUCAUCGUAUCUUAAUAAUUAAUGACUACAUAAAAUCUAUAUACAGCAGUAGAAAAUUCGUUGGAACUCUUCUCCAACACGCUGUAUUGCCGUGGAUCAAAAUUUUAUUUUUAUUUAUAUCUCUCAUCAUAGCUAAUUUUAAAUAGCGAUUUAUCUAUUUUUUAUUACGCUAUUAUUAUAUGUAUAACUUUAUAAUUGAACACACAUAAAAAAAAUCUCCACAUAUUUUAUUAAUAUAUAUAAUAGUAUAUAUUUUACAUUAUAUUUUAAUAUUCAUAAUUAUAUAUAGAAAAAAAUAUCUAAAAAAUUAAAAAAUAAAAAAAAAAUCGCCCCUUCUUUUAUCAAUUUAUAAAUAAUAAAUAAAUAAAUAUAUCACCAUAUGAUUAAGGCUCUGUGUUUUUAUUUAUUUCUCUAGUACAAGUAGUGAGUGUUAAAGUGCACAUUGAAUUGAAUGAAAAAAGAAAGUGCUAUACAAUACUUGUCACCUCCUAUCCAUAGCUUGAAUGUGCUAUGAAUAAAUCUUAUUAAUGAAUGGAAAUAAAUACUAGUGUACGACCUGUAACAUUAUAUUUCCACAUAAUGAGAUAGGUAUUUGUAAUGUAAUUAUAAUUUUAAUUAUAUAUAUAUAUAUAACAAAUUUAUUUGGCUAGGCACCUUAUUUUUUUUUAAAAAAAAUUUAGGGUUAUGAUUGUAUAUAAAUCUAUUCUUAAGGAGGUAGCGUGCUUCUCUCUAUACAUAAAUGUAUGUACACUACAAAAAAAACGAUCUAUAGCGACACUUUUAAAUAUAGGUACAUGUCAAAAUAGUGCUGCUAGCUAAAAUUACCGACACUUUUAAAAAGUGUUGCUAUAUGUGGGGUCGCUAGGUAUAUAGUAACAGUUAAAGAGUGUCGCUAUUACCUAAAAUAGUACUGCUAAUUUACCAACACUUAUUUAAAUAUUUAGCAACCGCCGAAACUCUAUCUCGUUGGCUGCGGUGGCGGAGGAGGACGACAAGAAAGGCUCUUCGUCUAGAAUUUCAGUAGAUUGAGUGAAGAGAGAAGAAAAGAUGGCAAUUGAUUUUUCUUUUUUUUUUUCUUUUCUGUUUGUAAUCGGGCCAAAUGGACUGGGUGUGGUGGGUUGAUUAGAGUAAUCUUUUAUUUUUGGUUGGAUUGGGCUAUAUAUUUAGACAUUAGCAGAUGUUUUUUUAAGUUUCAGCAUAAAUGGGACACUUACUAAAAAAUGUUAUAAAUAUGUGUCCCUAUAACCUAAUUCUGUUGUAGUGGUACUAUGUAAAACGUUUUUAGUAAUAUUUUGAAAUAUUACAUAAAAGAUCAAUAAAAUAGAAAUAAUUUAUUAAUAAUUAUAAUUUUUUUUUAUCGCAUAUACGAUAAAGAUCACAUGAAUUAUACCAUUUGUACUAAUACGAAAAUAAUUGAAAUGUUGUCCUUGGCUUUGAAUAUUGAAGUUAUUGAUGAUAUCCCAAUCCACAGAAGCCACCAUUUUUGACUUCCUUUUGAUAUAUAUNUAGUAUAAAGAAUUUUGUAUCAAAAUUUCAUCUGAUUUGAAUACUUCUACACCGUUAAACUUGAAAACGGCAGAUAUCAACCAUUAAAAAUUAUUGAUUUUGAAUCCUUUCGAUCACUUGGUAAAUGAUAUCAAAAAAUCGCUAAAAUUAUUUUUUAGAAACUUCAAAUAUCCUAGAUCAAGUCUAACGGAGCCGAUCGUCGAUUUGAAAAUUCCAUCAUCGAAAACAGCUCAGGAGCACGGAGACCUUCGUGCUCCUGAGAGCACAACAGCCCUACUAUAUAUAUAUAUAUAUAUAAAACCAACAUAUAUAAUAACCUAAAUUAAUAAAUGGCUAAGCCAAGUACACCCCAUGAAAUGUUUCAAUUACAUUUUCCACAUCAAAAUCUAUAGUGAAACACAUGAGUAAACUCCUUAUUAACCUAACUCUUUGAGCCUACACUUCUCCCCAUGCAUGAACACUUGAACCACAAUAAUGUUUUUAACCUUUUGUUUUUUUUUUUUUUUUUUUUUAAAACAAUCUUUUUCACUAUUAGCUUCCAUGUUCCAAACCCUGCUAUAAUGUCAUCAUCAUCAUCAUCAUCUUUAGACUUUCGUUAAGGUAUCCAAUGCCACAAACCACUGUUGAAAGUACUAAAUUUAGAACUGUAUAUGGGGUUCAUUUCUUGUGUGGUAUUUGACCUAUAAUGAAACUUUCUUUUUUUGUUUUUUUUGAGAGAGAUCGGUAGCACGCUACCCGCUUCGUUUAUUUUAUUUAGAAAUAAAUUUAGAUGAAAAUGUGAAUCAAUUAGGAUUCGAAUUUGGGACCUCAGGUACCAACCACCAAGCCCUUUGCUACUUGCUCUAGGGACGGUCGGUACUUGUAAUAAAAUUUCAAAGAGAAAUAUAUAUAUAUAUAUAUAUAUAUAUAAAGAGAGUCCGACCACUAUACUCUUAUUAUGAGUAUAGAGCCUUUUCAUACUCAUAAGGCAUUUUCGAUGAUAGAACUUUCGAAUCGACGAUUCAUUCCAUUAAAUAUAAUCUAAAAUAUUUGAAACUUCAAAAAAAAAAUUAUAAUAAAAUCCAUCAAGCGGGCAUAAAAUAAAUGAUCAAAAUCGAAAGACGUUCUAAAAAUGGAUGAUUGGAUCCUUCAAUUUAAGAUUGAAAUUAUUAAUCUUUAUUUAGAUAGUGAAUAUAAUUUUCUAUCAAAAACUUAACCGAUUCCGAUUUUUUUAUACCGUUAAACUAGCAAGUAUUCAAUACCGGUUAUUAAAAAUUAUCAAUUUUGAUAUCUUCUGAUCGUAAGCUAAAUGAUGUUAAAAUAUUAUGAAAUUUGAUUUCUAAAAAUUUUAAAUGCUCUAAAUAACGUUCAACGAUAUGGAUCAUUGAUUCGAAAGCUCUAUGAUCGAAAAUAACUUAUGAGUUGAAUAUCUAAUCUUUUCAACUUCGCAUGUCUUUUCUUCCGCCUUUAAUCUCCAUAUUAUUUUUUUUCAUCUAUGCGGUCACAAAAUGAAUAAAUUAUAUAGACAAAUAUUGGAUUAAACUAUUCAAUCAUNUUAAAUUUAAAUUCACAAUCUUUAUUGCAUUUCAAAUUUUGAACUCAAUUAGAAUUUAAAUUUCAAUUUGAAAAUUUGAAUUCAAAAUCUAAAUGUGAAUCUAAAUUGAUAUUUUAAAUCAAAAUCUGAUUUUGAAUUUAAAAUUUGAACUUCGUAUUCAAAUUCGCAUUUUCAAGUUGAAAGUCAAUCAAAGUUUGAAUUAAAUUUAGAAUUGGAAUUCAAAAUGUGAUUUUGAAUUUAAAAUUAAAUACAUAAUUUGAAUUUGAAUUCAAAAUUGAAUUAGGAUUUAAAUUUGAAUGCAAAAUCAAAAUUUAAAUUUGAAAUUUGAACCCAAAAUGAAAUUUAAAUUUAAAAUUUAAAUUCAAAAAUAGAAUUUGAAUUCAAAAUUUAUAAUUAAAAUUUGAGCUUUAAAUUUAAAAUUUAAUUCAAAAUGUAAUUUGAAUUUAAACUUUGAAUUUAACAUGUAAGCUUGAAUUAAUUUAAAUGGUAUAAUUAGCUGGCGUUGACACAACGCUUCCGUGGUGGUGACUAGGGGUGGAAACGAGCCGAGCCUGAGCGAGCUUACCUCAGCUCAAAUUCGGCUUGAAAUUAAUUUCGAGCCUAAAUUAGGCUCAAGCUCGGCUUGAAAUUAAUUUGAGCUGAGCUCGAGCGAGCCUAAUUUCGAGUCGAGCCCUAAACGAGCCGCUUGAAAUUCUCAACAUCGUACGAUCAAUAGUUUAAUCUGUAUAGAACAUUAUUUAUAAUUUGAUACAAAAAUAUAUCUAAUAGUUCAAAAUACAAAAUAAUUAUAUGAAAUACGGUAUUAUAAUAUGAAGAAAAAUAACUUAUGAGUUGAAUAUCUAAUCUUUUCAACUUCGCAUGUCUUCUUUUCCGCCUUUAAUCUCCAUAUUAUUUUUUUUCAUCUAUGCGGUCACAAAAUGAAUAAAUUAUAUAGACAAAUAUUGGAUUAAACUAUUCAAUCAUAUAUAACUAAUAUCAAAAUUUUGUAUAAACAAUAAUUGUUUAUCAUAGAAAUAUUUUGUAUAUUUUCUCAAGUACACAAUUAAUGGCAAGAUAGGCAAUGGUGGGUGUGUGCUGUUACUUAGUGACUUAGGGGGCUUCAGGUUUGGCCGCAUAGGGUGAAAGACAAAGAAAAAGAGAGAGAGAGAGAGAGAGAGCGAGAGAUUAGGAAUUUAGGGCUUUGUGAAAGAAAGAGAGGGAGAGUGUAAAUUUAGUAUAAUUUUGCCCUUUUGUUGGCAUAUUGGGUUUGUUUUUAUGGGCCAGCAACAUUGGCUAAAUUUUAACUAAACUUGAUUACACAUUCAAUCUACAUAUACUUAAAUAUUAUAUAUAUAUAUAUAUAUAUAUAUAUAUAUAUAUAUAUAUAUAUAUAUAUAUAUAUAUAUAUAGUAGGUCUUGUGUGUUAUUAGGAGUACGGAGGUCUUCGUGCUCCUGAGCCGUUUUCGAUAAUGGAGCUUUCAAAUCGAUAAUCAGCUCCGAUAAACUUAAUCUAGUAUAUAUGAAAUAUUUAGAAAAUAAAUUUUAUGAUUUUUCGAUAUUAUUUAUCUAGUGAUUGAAAGGGUUCAAAAUUAACGAUUGAAAAUAAAAAUUUCACAAAAAAUUAUAAUAUAGUUCUGAAAAUUCGAUCUGAAUCUGUAAAAUUAAAAAAAGCGAUCCGAUUUUACCAAAUCUCAAAAUCUGUAAAAUUUUUAUGUAAAUUGGCCAAUUAAUUAUUUCAAUAUCUUUUUAGCAGUGUGGACUUUGUACUCCCACAUGCACAGUGCACUUAAAUCUUGUUCUUAUUUAAACUCUCCAGAGUGGAAAGAGGAAAUGAUGUUACAUCAAAUCAACUGUGAUUACAUAUUGCUCAGAGCAGCUUUUUUUUUUUUCUUUUCUUUUUUUAAAUAUAUAGCCAUAGUUAGCAAUGGGGUCUUACUAUGUAUAAUGGCUUCAAAGGCCCCCUUUGUCUUUUCCUUUUUUUUCAUUUUUUUUUUUUUAAAUUUUCGAAUCUUUUGGUGGCUCCACUUUUAAGUACCACAAGUAGAGCAAUUCUAAAAGCAAUGAAAACUAUGAAGAACAUAUUUUAGGGUAAACUUUAAAUGUCACCUUCGUGGUUUCGUAUUUUCUCACCCUAGUACCAUGUGGUUUAAAAUAUAUUAAAUUAGUGUCAUGUGGUUUCAUUUUUAUCUUUUCGUUAGCUUGUUCAUUAAUAUUUCGUUAAAUUGUUUACAAAAAAUUUUAGAUACCCCACCUAGGUUUAUCGAAUAUUCAUUUUAGAUACCUCACCUCUAUAUAUAUAUAUAUAGAGAGAGAGAGAGAGAGAGAGAGAGAGUUGAGCUAUGAUACUUUUACAAGUAUCACCAUCAUGAUGCUAUUAGGUUUUAAGCCAUUGGAUCUACUUUUUGAUUAUUAAUAGCCCUUGGAUUAAAUACUAUUCCACCUANNNNNNNNNNNNNNNNNNNNNNNNNNNNNNNNNNNNNNNNNNNNNNNNNNNNNNNNNNNNNNNNNNNNNNNNNNNNNNNNNNNNNNNNNNNNNNNNNNNNNNNNNNNNNNNNNNNNNNNNNNNNNNNNNNNNNNNNNNNNNNNNNNNNNNNNNNNNNNNNNNNNNNNNNNNNNNNNNNNNNNNNNNNNNNNNNNNNNNNNNNNNNNNNNNNNNNNNNNNNNNNNNNNNNNNNNNNNNNNNNNNNNNNNNNNNNNNNNNNNNNNNNNNNNNNNNNNNNNNNNNNNNNNNNNNNNNNNNNNNNNNNNNNNNNNNNNNNNNNNNNNNNNNNNNNNNNNNNNNNNNNNNNNNNNNNNNNNNNNNNNNNNNNNNNNNNNNNNNNNNNNNNNNNNNNNNNNNNNNNNNNNNNNNNNNNNNNNNNNNNNNNNNNNNNNNNNNNNNNNNNNNNNNNNNNNNNNNNNNNNNNNNNNNNNNNNNNNNNNNNNNNNNNNNNNNNNNNNNNNNNNNNNNNNNNNNNNNNNNNNNNNNNNNNNNNNNNNNNNNNNNNNNNNNNNNNNNNNNNNNNNNNNNNNNNNNNNNNNNNNNNNNNNNNNNNNNNNNNNNNNNNNNNNNNNNNNNNNNNNNNNNNNNNNNNNNNNNNNNNNNNNNNNNNNNNNNNNNNNNNNNNNNNNNNNNNNNNNNNNNNNNNNNNNNNNNNNNNNNNNNNNNNNNNNNNNNNNNNNNNNNNNNNNNNNNNNNNNNNNNNNNNNNNNNNNNNNNNNNNNNNNNNNNNNNNNNNNNNNNNNNNNNNNNNNNNNNNNNNNNNNNNNNNNNNNNNNNNNNNNNNNNNNNNNNNNNNNNNNNNNNNNNNNNNNNNNNNNNNNNNNNNNNNNNNNNNNNNNNNNNNNNNNNNNNNNNNNNNNNNNNNNNNNNNNNNNNNNNNNNNNNNNNNNNNNNNNNNNNNNNNNNNNNNNNNNNNNNNNNNNNNNNNNNNNNNNNNNNNNNNNNNNNNNNNNNNNNNNNNNNNNNNNNNNNNNNNNNNNNNNNNNNNNNNNNNNNNNNNNNNNNNNNNNNNNNNNNNNNNNNNNNNNNNNNNNNNNNNNNNNNNNNNNNNNNNNNNNNNNNNNNNNNNNNNNNNNNNNNNNNNNNNNNNNNNNNNNNNNNNNNNNNNNNNNNNNNNNNNNNNNNNNNNNNNNNNNNNNNNNNNNNNNNNNNNNNNNNNNNNNNNNNNNNNNNNNNNNNNNNNNNNNNNNNNNNNNNNNNNNNNNNNNNNNNNNNNNNNNNNNNNNNNNNNNNNNNNNNNNNNNNNNNNNNNNNNNNNNNNNNNNNNNNNNNNNNNNNNNNNNNNNNNNNNNNNNNNNNNNNNNNNNNNNNNNNNNNNNNNNNNNNNNNNNNNNNNNNNNNNNNNNNNNNNNNNNNNNNNNNNNNNNNNNNNNNNNNNNNNNNNNNNNNNNNNNNNNNNNNNNNNNNNNNNNNNNNNNNNNNNNNNNNNNNNNNNNNNNNNNNNNNNNNNNNNNNNNNNNNNNNNNNNNNNNNNNNNNNNNNNNNNNNNNNNNNNNNNNNNNNNNNNNNNNNNNNNNNNNNNNNNNNNNNNNNNNNNNNNNNNNNNNNNNNNNNNNNNNNNNNNNNNNNNNNNNNNNNNNNNNNNNNNNNNNNNNNNNNNNNNAUAUAUAUAUUAAUAACUAAAACUCUGUCAAGCUAGUGAUCUGUUUACUAUAGUUUUUUAGUAUUUUAAAUAAAAGAUCUACAAAUUCUAUAAGAUCUAGUUCAGGUUACCUCGACUAGUAGUUAAGCUUUCAGGGUUGUAGCUUUUGCUAAACUUUCGUAUCUCGCCAAGCAUGAUGAUUUUUGUAUAGUCGGGUUGAGAGAUAAAUUAAACGUUGUAGUGACAUUUGAGUAAAAAUGUUUCAAAGUAUUGACCGAACUGUAUAUAGUAAUAACAUUUCCAUAUCCACAGGACUUACUAGUGUUUCAUUUAUUUUAUUUUAUUUCAUUUUGUGUGUGUUUCCUAUUAUGCGAAAACAUGCACAUGAGUUUCAAAUGAGUCAAAACCACAAACUUGCGCAACAAGAAAUUUAUGCGCACCCAGAAAUAGCUAGCUUGCUAUCUAGCCAUCUAGCUAUGGAAAGCAAACAACCCAUGUUUUUUUUUUAAAAAAAAAAAAGAAAAAAAAAAGAAAAAAAUUAUUAAAAAAAGAAAAAUAACUUUCACAAUUCCCAAUCUCACUCGUGGGCAUCGUGUUCAAACAAAAGGAGAGCUGCGUAGGGAAGCAACAAAGGAAUCUCCUCUCCGAGCAAAAGCACUUUUCCAAUCCGGGGCUCUUCACGGAUGAAUCUUAUGAGGUCAUCAAAAUCUCACAUGCAUGAAAAACCAACAACAACAUUAUUGCAUGCACCUUAUCCACAUAUAUCUAUAUCUAUAUUUAUACUAUAUAUAAAAGCGUAUAAAAAUUCCGACAAUUACAGACAAAAUCCAAAAAAAAAUAAAAUAAUAUUUCUUAUGAAUAAUUAUGAUUAAUUUGUUAAAAUAUCUCAAAUAAAAAUUAACGGUUAUGAUCAAUCUAUUGAAUGUAAAAUAAUAUUUUCUACGAAUGAUUAUGAUUUAUUUGUUAAAAAUAUGUUAAAUAAAAACGAACGGUUAUAAUCAAUCUAUUAAAUUUAUACUAUAUAUAAAACUCUAUUCCCUAUAAAUGGUUAUGAUCAAUAUGUUUAAAAAAAUAUCUCAAAUAAGAACAAUUAUAAUCAAUCUAUAAUUCAAUCCUAUGAACGAUUAUAAUCAAUUUGUUAAAAAAUAUCUCAAAUUAAAACAAACGGUUAUGAUCAAUUUGUUAAAAAAUAGCAUUUCUAUUAAUCUAUUUUACAUUAAAAUUAAAAUUUGAGUUUAAAUUAUAAAUUAAAUUUAAUUUUUAGAUAUCAAAUUUGAAUUAAUAAUUAAUUUUUUUAUUACAGUGGAUCAAAAUUAAAUUUUAAAUUUUAAAUUAAAUGUGAAUUAAAUUUUGAUGCUUUUAGUUUAAAACACAUAUUUAAAUUUGAUUCAUCAAAAAUCAAAAAGUAUAUAAAAAUGUUCGAUGUAUAUAAAUAAAAGAACACGGUAGGAUAUUAUAAAUAUUUUCUAAUAAAAUAUAACACAUUAAUUUAUAAAUAUAAUUUUUAUUGUAAAAUUUUGGAUAUAUAUAAAUUACAAAUUUAUAUUGAUUUGAAAUAAAUUAUAAUAAUUGUUACGUGCAUUUGCACGUACAUUCAACUAGUAUAUAUAUAUAUAUAUAUAACACAUUUUUAAAUGGUUCAGGGUAAACUUCAAAUAUUAUUUCUGUGGUUUCGCAUUUUCUCUUUUUAUUAUCGAUUCCACUAAUUUUUUUCGUUAAAUUAGUAAUAAAGUUAAAACUAAAGGGUACUAAAGUGAAUAUUCGAUAAACCUAGAUAAGAUAUAUGAAGUUUUUUUGUAUAUAAUUUAACGAAAUAUUAGCGAAAAAGCUGACGAAAAGAUAAAAAUUAAACCACAGGGAAACUAACUUGAUACAGUUUUAAAUCACAUGGUACUAAAGUGAGAAAGUGCGAAACCACAAGAGUAAGAAAUUUACUCUUUUAAAUUUAUAUUGUUGAUGCUUUAAAAUUAAAUUUUAAUUUUCUCGGCUGACUGUGCGUAGCGUAAUUGGCUAAAUUUCAAGGUCGAAAUUUAAUUGUUUCAUAUUUCUAGAUGAACGAAACGAUAACUUGUAUAAAAUAUUUUACGACACUUUAAGCAUUUUUUUUAAAAAAAUCUAGAACGCUCUUUGGGAGGUCAGGGGUUUAAAUCUGUGCUUGUUCAUUUAAUUUAAAAUUGAGUUGGUUGAAUUUCGGAAUAUAGAAUUUUUAUGUGUCUUAAAGUUAGGAAUUUGAAAGUAACUUAAUUAAAAGGACAAAAAGAAGAGACUUUCUAUAUAUAUACAGUUAAAUAUUUUUAAUAUUGUAGAAAUAUUAAUUACUUAUCAAAUAGGGUUAAUUACCUAUAGGUUCUCCCCAACAUAAUAAAUUACAAAUAUAUUUAUAUAAAGUUCAACUUUUAUAAAUUAUUCAUGUAAAAAAUCCUAAUGUUUUCAUAUAUGUCCCUCUGAUUUGUUACCGUUAGAGAUCCGUUAAAACACCGUUUAUAUUUUCAAUUUUGUCAUCAUAAAUUUUUUUCUUUAAAAGUUAUAGCAGUAUAAUAUAAGAGGAAUAAAAAUGUCACAAAUUAACCAGAGUAAAGUAUUCAACCUAUAGUUAACUAAACUUUUUAAACGGAUUCUAACGGCAUGAACAUAUAUGAAAAUAUUAUGACUUUUAUAGGAAUAACUUAUGAAAGUUGAACUUUACAGAAAUAUAUCUGCAAUUCACUAUGUUUGCGAGAAUUUGUAUACAAUUAACCCUAUCAAAUAUUAUGUACAGUGCACGAAAUAUAUGAACGCACUUGGUGCAGGCAAUAAUUUCUCAUGGAGAGAGAGAGAGAGAGAGAGAGAGAGGAGAUCUAACUUCAAAGGCAAAAUUAAGUAAAGUCACUUUUUUUUUUCUUUUUUUCUUUUUUCUUUUUUUUUUUUUCUAGCAAUGAGUCAGAGAUGGAACAGUAGAAGGCAUAUCCAUGUGCUGUUGUCCUCUAGGAGGCAGAAGAAUAUUUUAUUGGGAGUCUCAACUCUCAAUUUGAAGAAGCCACAUUAUUGCAUGCAUUUUGACUUUGAAAAAAAAAUUACCGACCAUUCCUAGCGCAAGUAGCAAAAGAACUUUGUGGUUGGUAUUGAGGUCCCAAGUUCGAAGCCUAAUUGUUUCACAUUUUUAGUUGAGCUUAUUUCAAAAAAAUAAACAAAACGGGUAGCAUGCUAUUUUUCUCUCCAAAAAAAAAAAUUUGAAAAAAAAAUUUAAAAAAAUUUAGUAUUGCAUCAACACAUCACUACUUUCUCUAAAAGCUUAAAUUAUCAGACAUUUCAUAGUCUGAGCUUAAAUUAAGUUUGGGGUCCGACUAAAACUCGAAUUUAGAAUCUCCUGCUUAAUAUUACAAUAUUUUAUAGAAAAAAUUUUAAAUAUUAUUCCUGUGUUUCACACUUUCUCACUCUAGUAUUCUGUGGUUUAAAUUAUAUCAAUUUAGUAUCCCGCGAUUUCAUUUUUAUUUUUUAUUAUCGAUUUCACUAAUUUUUUUCGUUAAAUCAAUGACAAAGUUAAAACUAAAUGGUACUAAAGUGAAUAUUUGAUAAACUUAGAUAGAAUGUCUGAAGUUUUUUGUAUAUAAUUUAACGAGAUAUUAACGAAAAAGCUGACGAAAAGAUAAAAAUGAAGCCACAAGAUACUAAUUUGAUACAUCUUAAACCACAUGAUACUAAAGUGAGAAACUGCGAAACCACAGGAGUGGUAUUUGAAGUUUAUCCUAUUUUAUAUGUAUUCAACAUAGCUAUUGAGUUUACUC